CCGCAGUCGCUGGGCAGAACAGUUGCCGCGUCCUUCAGCGCCGCUCUCUAGGCAGCUGCCUUGUUGGCGCUCUGGGGCUAGUCCGAACGCGGCCGCGGUAACGCUGGCUGCGGCACAGGACGCGAUCGCAGCGGGCUGAGCAAUUAGCAUCAGAGAAUGGGGACUCACUGGGGGGCCAGUGCCUGGCAAACAAGCCUGUCCCCAGAGCUCGGCCCAGGCCCAGCUACUCAGGCUGCUGUCCACGCUGCCCAUGCCCUCACCAGACUCUGGAUGGACCUCAGAGAUGGACGCAAGUGAAGCAGAGAGGGCCAAGCCCUGUUAUACGCCAAGGAUGCUUUAUAGCAGAUGUAUGCUGACACAGGUAACUCUGAGCUUUGUCAUGUGACCCUUCUGGUAGCGGGUCAGACUGCAGCACAGGAUCAGACCAGGUCUGUGUAUGUGUGUGUUUAGCUCAGUGGCCUAAGUGCCUGAUUGGCAAAUGCGAAGUCAUGAGUUUGAUCCCCGGUAUCAGAAAACAAACAAACAAACAAAAAACAACAACAAAAAAGAAAAGACAGGUAAUAAUCUGAACCAAGUAACUUUCAUAAAGAGCCAUUCCCAUGGAUGACUAGCAGGAAGUUCCUGACAAGGCAUGCCACGUGCUGAGUUCCUCAGUUCAUGCCACAGCGGACUUCAAACCAGCACGCUUGCAUCUCUACUACACAGUACUUUCCCAAGCAGUAGAUUAUGUCUGGGAGGCAGGAUAGGGAUCAUCCCCCCAUCUUAUAGGUUAAGUCAUUUAACAAACAUUUGUUGAAAACUCCUCAUCAUCAAAACCUGGCUCAAGCUGGAGGAAUUUAAAAGGAGCAAGGACCUGCUUGCCCUGGUGGGGUUUGUUGAUGAGAAACAGGAGAAAGAUCGACUCCUGUCUAAAAAGGAGUUGGGGGUUCCAGGAGCUCUCUGAGAGAAAACGAGGAGGCAGGACAAGGGCUGCAGGCAACAGGCUGUGGAGGCAGAAAGAAACCAGGCCUCUGAGCCUGGAGAGGGAGUACUUAGGCCCUGCUCCUGCCAGGCGCCUUGGCUUGGGCUGAGGCCUCUAAGUGCCAUCAAAGGUCUUGGACAGGGAUCCAAACUUUGAAAGGAUUUUUUUCUGUUGAGAGCAGAACGAUGUGGAUUUGUCAGGUAGGAGGCCACUGCAGCACAGAAAGAGCACGAGCAUGGAGGGAAGUAUUGAGGGGUGAGGUCAGCCUGGCUGGGUGACAUACUAGAAGGGGCAGCCAGGGGGGAGGGAUUGGGAAUGAUUCAGAGAGCUGCUGGGGGAGUGGGUGACCAUUAGGGGCCUUUGUUGGCAGAGAAGCUGAGUAGGGUGGAGUGUAAAAUGAUGGAAGCUGUGGAGAGGAGCGAGCGUGUGUGUGUGUGUGUGUGUGUGUGUGUGUGCGCACGCGCGUGCUCGGGUGUAGGCCUGGGUUCAUCUGGGCUGCAGAGUUAUUUGGGGGUCUCUGGUACCGAGGGGAGCAGUGCAGGGAACCAGUUGGGGUGAGACUGAAACAGGAAGGGCAGAAAAGAAGGUUUGAGGACACAAAGGAAAACUGCCUGGCCCAGGUGCUCCUGAUUCCCUGAGCACCGGCCUAAAAAGGGCCUGCUGGAAUGUGCUGUGGGCCCCGGCCUUUCCCGGGUCACACAGGAAAAGCCCUGCUCUAGGUGAGUCUCCCGCCCUCUUCCCUUCCCUUUCCCUUUCCCCCAGUGCUCUAGGUAGCACAGAGGACCUUGUGCACCAGUGCAGGGAGGCAGCCAGGGCAGCUCCCUCGGGGAGGCCUCAGCCUCGCUGAAGUAUUUCAUAAUCUUGGAAGGACGGAAAAUCCCCCCAGUUUUAACACAAAGCCAGGCAGGCUGAAAAAUGGCCUUGAAUUUGCAGAGAUGAAAAAACAAAAGUCUAUCAACAUUAGAGAUGGGAGGGAGCAGGGAGCUUUGGUGGAUCCAUGAGAGUAGUAGUUCUGGGUUUCACCACUCAAACCCGGAACCUAGGCAGAGGAGGGCAGAUUGGGGGUACAAGACAAGGAGCAGUGCUUUCUGGUGGGAGAUGCUUUUUUUUUUUUUUUUUUGGCAUCUCUCCUGAAUAACAGUACAAAGAGCUUCCAGAGUCUCAAAAAGGGUUAACUGCAGAUCCUCUAACUCCUCCACUUGCUAAUUUUUAAAUGCAAGCUGAGCUUUGAGUGCCCCUCCUGGAAGGCUGAGAAAGGCCAGAGGCCGGCAGAGACUCUGCACUGAGUCUGUGAGCCUCCACCCCCAGUGCAGCCAGGAAUGUGAAUGCUUUUGGAGAAGGGCACCUCCAUUCCCUCCCUCACCCAACAUGUUCAGACGCCUGAGCCAAGACUUCAUCCCCGAGCUUCUGUCCUCCAUCCAGGGCUGAGUGGCUUUGUUAACAGACGAACGUGACUCCCAAAUGAACCUUUGAGAUUGGCUUAAUGGAACUAGCAGAACCUGGAUGAGAAUCGUGGCUCAGGCCCCUGUGCCCCUAAAGACAUAUAUCAACUUCCAUCAGCGGGAGGGCGGCCAUCAGGGAGCCAGAGAGCUGGGAAGAGUGCUCUGCCUUGGACCCUCUUUUCAGGCCACACCCAACUCAGGGCUCAACCCCCACCCUCAGCCACUCUAGCUUCUGAGAGACAGGGCCUACAUCUACGUGCACUGACAGGAACACACACAACCAGACACACGCCACGCAUGCAUCCUGCUGCCUGCCAGAGCCAAGGUUUUGUCUCAUCUUCACGUUGCUUCUUGUCUUCCUCAAAGUCCAGCAGCACCUUCUGAGGCAUAAGUCACAGGAUGCCCGAGAUCUCACUGGGCUUAAAGGUUCUUCCUGAUGUCUCAGAAUCUAGCCUCUGGUCUCAUCCUAACUCCAGUCCAGUCCCUUGGGAUCCCAGCUCUUCUCAGGGAGGACGAUAGCCCUCCUGUUUAGGCGCUUGUUCUGUGGUAGAGUCCAGCACUCGCAGUGCUUUCCCCCUAAGUGCUGCUGGGCAUUGUGGACUUCAAGUUUAGUGAAUGGGUCCCCCCUCCCCCACCCCAAGCAGAUACUAGGCAUUGUAGCUAAGAGCAGCUUAGCUGGAGGAAUGACAUGCUUGAGGCCACUGGGGCUUGGGCACUUGAGAUGACAGAACCCAGCCCUCCUCCUCCAUGUCUGGGAAAGGGCUGGGGAAGGGUAUUCUGCCUCCAGACUCUGGCAGAGGGAGUCUUUGUCGUGUGUGUGUGUGUGUGUGUGUGUGUGUGUGUGUGUGUGUGUCCAGCAGAAGCAGGGUGGGUAGGGAAGAGAGGCAGGGCCCUUUCAGUGCUUACCUGCCUUUUUAGUAUCUAGAGGAACCUGGUCAUGUGGGUUUGGGUGCUCAGAGAUGUCACAGCUGGGUACUUGGACCAUAAGUCACCCUCCCAAAGCUAUGCUCCCCUUUUUGCCUGGGCAUGAAAUAUCCCUAGCGCCUCUUAUAGACCAAUGGUUCUGAGUCCCUCGCACCUUGCUUUACCCAGGGCAAGUGGCAAGCUGCUUCUAGCAGCCACUCGCCCUCCUGUCUUCCUCAGCAAGCCACAUACCCCCUCAGCUUCUGCUAGCUUGUUUUGUCACUAAAAUGUCUGGAUCACUGCUAAAUGGUUUCCGCUUCGUUGACUUUUCAUUCUGUCCUCCCUGUGCUGGCCUUGUGCUGGGACAAGGGGUUGGGAAGACUGUAAGGCAGGAGCCCCACUGGGGCUCUCCACAGGUUGCAAAGAGGGAGGGUCAAGUCAGGGGCUCUAGGCCAUCACUGCAGACAGUGCCACCCUCCUCUCCAGUUCUCCGUAUUUCCCAAGGGUGGGCUUCUUCCCAUCCUCAGGCAUCUUCUUUCCCAAGGUUGCUUGAGAAGCCUUAAACUUUGGGGGGUGGGGAGAGCAUCCUAAGGGUGGCAUUGAGUCCCAGGGUCAGGGUGGAGAUUAUCUGUGCAGAGGCUGAUAGGAACAUCCCCAGGGCUGACUUCAAAGCUGCUGCUGGACCAGAAUCUUAGCUUCAAAGUCAGCCAGCUGAGCUAUUUGCCUGUAAAAGUGGGGGAGGGGAAGAGCCUGCCUCCCAGCCACCUGAGAGCUCAGGGUCUCAAAGGCCUUCCUGGGUUGGCUUUUGACUGGAGGGCACCACCCUACCGCCAGGCACUGGAGCCACUGGAGGAGAGAGGUAACAGACUCUCAAAACACUAUGGGAAGUCACCACUACCGCCCAGGGUUCUGAGCUUAGAAUCCAAGAUGUGGUAGGGAUGGGCCCUGUAAGGUAGCUCUAGCCGCAGCCCAGCUUCCUACCUUGUUGCCUGACCUUCUGCCCAGCUUCUCCUCCAAUGCUUGUUUGUUGGUAGGCCUGGCUGAUCAUGUGCAGGUGGAGAACAUGUAGAUUGGUCUGGUGGAACAGUAUAGUAGACCAAAUAGUAGUUCUGAACCAGGCUGCCUGAUACAGAUUCCAGGUCCAACUUGAUUUAGGUGUGUGUUGUGUUGAAAUGAACAAGGGCAGGCCCAUAGGGUGAGGUUCCACAUUCACGCGAGUGCCUGGCCCUAUCAGUAGCCAGCAAGCCUGGCCACAGUGCCACUGUAGUGUAGAACUGUGACACUGGGCCCACUUGGCCAGUGCAGAGCAGCAAGAGGGAGCCAAGGCCAGGGUUCUGCUGUGAGUAAGGGGAGGCCGGGGUCCCGUGCCUGCACAGAGGGCUAGCAAAGGGUGGCAGUUGUUGGGGAAGUUCACCAGACAUGGCAGGAAGAGUCCCCCUACCCCACCCCCCGAGGCUGCACAUUUGACAUACUUGGAUUUUCAUUUUCCUUGUCUAAACAGAGGCCUGUCAUGGCACCUCCCUCCCAGAUCAAAUAGCCCUGUGUGAGUGAGCUCUGGUGGACCUUCUUCCAUGCUCUCCACUGGAUCCCCUGCCUGACCCCAGCACAUUCAGGUCUCAGAAGCUAGGACUCCUCAAGCAAGUACCACCUGAGCUCAAAAGUGUGCCGAUUCCUCCCACACAUAGAAAACAUCAAAGGAAAGCCUCAGGCUGACCCCUACUUGGGGGAGAAGUACAGCUCACAGCCUAGCCUGCCUAGCUGUGGUGAUUUUCCAUCCCACCAGGACUCUGGCAUUUGAGGCUCUUUGGGGACCGGGGUUGGGGCUAGAGCACAUAAAUGCAGCAAAGGAUGACUAAGGAGCAUGGCUCUUUAGGAGUCCACCCAGGUGACUUGUGAACUGCUGGCUUGAAAUCCCAGGACCAUGCAUAGCAGAACAGUGUAUACCUGGGCUCCCUGAGAACUUGCUGGCCAGUGGAGGUCAUGGUUUUUGCAGGAGCCUGAGAAGAAUGGAGAAGGGAUGCUUGCCUCUCCAUCAACUAUACAUCUUUGAAUGGGUUACCACAUGGGGCUGAGUUGGGUACCUCGGGGAGUGGACUGCACAGAGAGGACCAGUCCUAAAACCCACAUGUCUGGAACAGUGCUCCUAAACAGUCUACACCUACACAGGCAGCCCAGGCUUAUCCAGCUACCCCAGACCCUGCUCACAGUCCUCAACAAAAGCCCUAUGAGGCCUGGGAAUUCAGCAUUUCUCAAAACUGAGAAAUAUGAAGCCCAGAAAUGGUGGGCUGGAUGGAUCUGUGUUUGAAAAUGAAUGGGCAUCUUAGGGCAGUACUGGCUGGGAGGUAGGCUUCCACUUAGGCUUUUGGCUUUCAUUUGUGCCUUAUGAUCCGAGCUGAUGCUCAGAACUCGCUAAAUGCAGUGCAUAAGCUGAGGGUUGUUUGAUGUACUUAUACUUGGGGAAUCUAAUGUCACUCCUUAGUGUCCUUGUGCCUGCCAGCUUUUGGCUCUAAGCUCUUGCUUCUGCCUCAGCACCCCGGGCAUGUUUUACUCCUUGCUUUUGUUCACUAGAUAACACAGUGCACUGUGGGCCAGAGAGACCUCAUAGAUCUGGACUGGACUGCCUUUUGUCUCCAGGCUGUUCACUGGGCAGACACACAUCAAGAAUUUCUGUCCAGAAAAUGUGGCAACUCUGAGUACCUUUUAUUGUUUGGGGGCAUGGGCAGGAGGGUGCCUGCUCUCCACCUAUGGCUAUGAGCCUUAGGUAUCUAAGGCUUCUGGUCACAUCCUGUUUCUACCAAUAAAUCCAAGCAAAUGCACUCUUCCCCCAACCUGGAGCUGGUUAGGACUGGCCAGGAAGCAUGCAGAAUUGUCUAGGGUCUGGCAGGAGUGGGACAGUAAGGAAUGUUUCUGUACAGUGAAGGACUGGGCUGGAUGGAUCUAUGUUUGAAAUGAAUGGGCAUCUCAGGGCAGUGUUUGUGCACUGGCCAGGAGGUAGGGGCUUCUCCACUUUGCUUUAUUGUCUGUCAUAAAUCUCUCUGCUUCUCCUCAUCAGUUUGAAAUGUUUAUUCUGAAUUUAAGUCCUACUCUUUAGCAAGUCAUGUUUUACAGGAAAACCAUCACGGAUGGAAUCAUGCAAUUCCUAUUUGUUUUUUUUUUUUCAGUUACUCUUUCUUGAAGAAAGCUUAACUAGGUGAGCAGCCAGAGUCCUAGGAGCUGACAUUUGCAGGCAAAAAUGGAGGCACAGUGGCCUCAUGUUUGCAAGGAAAACUAGGCCCCUGUGUGUCUGGUCUUGCAGACUAAAAUGCUAUUGCCUAGACUCAGACUGACAGGUUCCGGUGGCUGGGGACCCUCGUUCCACCAUCACCUCCAGCCCUAUCACCUGCUGUGUACAAGCCCUCACUAGGGAACUUUCAUCAAGUGCUGGCACAUUCCUAACAUUGGCCUGGCCCCCCACCUCCUGAGUUGUGAGAUAUGUGUCCCAGGAAUGAGAAAACUUGGGCUGUGGCUCAUGACAGCCUUGUCCUUCAGCAGUGGAAGAAGCCUGCCUCCCUCCAGAGGGCAGAACCAGCACUAGCCAGUAAGGGAGGGUGUCUGAACAUGCAGCCUGUGGCAGGAGGACGCCUGGCCAUACUGAAACACAGUCAUGUGAAUAACUCCUUAAGUGCCACCAUUUUCUGUCUGGGAAUGUCUGUCCCAACCCUUUCGUUUUUUGAGCUACAAAAACUAAGAAGGCCAGCAUGAGGCUGUGAGUUCUAUUUCCGGUUUAAAAAAACAAAAAACUAAGAAGGUCUGAGAAAGAUCAUACAAAUCACUAAACUUUAUGGUUACCUGGAUUUCCCUACAGUGACAACAGAAAGAAUAAGCUUAAGGGGGUGAGACUUGUGACCAGAUACCUGCUGAUAGACUUUAAAUCCACUACUUUGGGAUGAGAGUGGGGCGGGGGGGCCUUGCCAGAGCUCUGAAACACUACUACCUUUCAGAUCUGCCUCAGGCUGUCUGGAACCAGCAAGCCUUCAUGGAACCCGGGCCUGGGCCUGACUUCUGCUGACCCUAGCAUAAAUCCUUAUUCACUCGUUCAUCUGUUUCUUCAUCAAACAUUCACUGAGGGCUUGUGAUGGGCUCCAUAGGGAUUAAGCAGCGAAGAUAAAACAUUGAAUAGAAAUGGCCAGGCUCUGCCCUUGCGGACUUUGAAUGUGACUGAAAGAGACAGAUGGUAAGUCCUUCUCCACAAGCAAACACGCAGUUAUACAUUAAGGAUGGGAGGGAGGUGUGCAUUCUUCAUGGCCCCGUCUGAAGCUUAGAAUUUGGCUACUCUAAGGAAGCGACCUUUCAGCUAAGACUGGCAGGAUAAGUCAGCCCCCACCUGGGAAGGAGAGGGAGGGUCAGGAAAGAGAUUGACAUGUUUAGAAAUGAUACUGAGACAAUUCAGGAGUUGUGGCAUCUUCAGCAGCUUUAUUGCUCUCUGGCUUUGUGACUCUGGGCCCUAAACUUAAUCCCUUAAGUCUCAGGCUGAUAUCUCUAAAACUGAAAUGAUAAUAUCUGAUGUCAAAGGCUGCAGUGAAGAUUAGCAAAAUGAUGUUUAUAGCUACUCAGCACAACGGCUGGCAAACAGAAUGUAAGUAGUAUUAUCUCAGGAUUAUUCUUGAGACUAAAAGUAUGUUCAGGGCCUAUGUAUUUUCUCUUCACCUGAGCAACAGAGCUGGGUCUCCUUAGGAAUAGCUAGAUGUAAGGAGCACGGAUGAAAGGACCUUAACUUUCAAGGAAGCAGGGAGUGCAUGUACCCUGUUCCUUCUGUCCCCUGGGGGCUGUUCCAGCCUGGCACAGUAGUUGGUCAUAACACUGAGCAAAUGAACAGAUAGUUGGGCAGCAUUGGCAGAUGCCUGGGCUUUACGGGUGAGGCAGCAGCCUCUGUAUCUGUGUUCAGGAUACUGUACUGAAUUUUCUGGUUUUAUUAAGCACCAAAGGCCUCGAUCCACCAUGCAUCAGCUGGUGGGGCGAGGAGGGGGUGUCAUACAGUUUAGACCAGAGCUGCCCUUCAUUGAUCUGAGAUCACUGUGUGUUUGCACACACUCAGGUAUAUAGGAGAAGCACUGCUAAAAACCUCCAGAAAAGGUUGUUUUCCUAGUAAAGGGUGUGCUCCUUGCAGGCUGUUGACCAGCUCAGCGAGGACUAGUUUGGCUUUACCACGCCCCACUUUCCAUUUAGAGAGGCUGAGGCCAUUAAGGUCACCGGGUCUUACUUUCUCCCAGAACACUCACUCAGAUUCCCAGUCUUUGUCUUCAGUCACCUCCACUCCAAGAGCCUCUUUCUACACAGGGUGAGCAGGCAGCCAUACAGAGGAGACUAGAGGCCCUGAUUUGGAGAGACUGUGAGAAAAUCAAGCUCCCCUCUGGGAAAGGAAUGAAUGCCCAAGGCUGGCCCCAUGACUCUUAAGCUCUUCCUUAGGUCACUUUUGAAUCUCUGCAUCUGUCCUAUGUUGAGGUCACUGGCCUGUCCCCAUAAAAUAUAAAUAACACAUUCAUGACUUUUUCUAAAUUUCUUAACAUUCUUGAAAUAGAAUUGAAUUUUGUCACAGGACUUUUUUUUUUUUUUUUUGUCUUUUUGAGACAGUGUCUCACUAUGCAGUUCAAGCUGGCCUAGAGCUCGAUUUGUAGUCCAGGUUGGUCUUGAACUCACAACAAUCUUUCUGCCUCAGCCUCCUGAGUGCUGGGAUUACAGGCAUACGCCACCAUGCCCGGCCACAGGAUAUUUUUUUCUUCUUUUCUUUUUGGCUAUUUUAAACUGAUCAUGUCAUUAAUGAAAUCUCCCAGAAAUCUCUUUUUGGGCUCCAGUUCCCCUGGUGUCCUAAUCUGAUAAGGCUAGCAUAAUGGAACACAUGCCCAAUUCACCUGUGAUAGCCACAGCAAAAAAAUUUUAAAUCCAGAACCUUUAAAAAUUCUGCCCUACAUAAAGUCAUACUAGGAGUGCAGGGGUCCACACAACAACCUGGACAGCCUCCAGGGAAUUGCAGUGUGAAUCAGCCAGUCCCAAAAGAUGACAUGCUGUAUAAUUCCAUUUAUAUAACACUCUUGGCAUGAAACAAUUAUGUAAAUGAAGAACAGACUAGUAAUCGUCAGGGGCGCAGGACAGAUUGGGAUAGGAAAUCAUGGGGAGUGUUGCUAAAGGGCAGUGUGGAGGGUCUUUAAUGCCUGUGUCCUAGUCAUGAUAUGUCCUAUAGCUUUGCAAGAUGCUGCUGCUAGGGAAACUGAGAGAGUGCCCUGUGUUAUUUCUUACAGCUUCAUUUGAGUCUGCAACUACCUAAAAUGAAAGAGUUUUUAAAAAAAAAAUCAUAAUCCCCAAGUAUAAAAAAAAAAUCUCAAGAACCCUGAAAUUAAUUUUAAAAUGUAAAAAGUAGAGGAAGAUCUAAACAACAACAACAAAAAAGAAAGGACACUAUAAUUUAUAUGACCACAUGGAUUAAUUCCUCAGACUUGUGGCUAGAAAAACGUCUAUUUUUAAAUAAGUAAUUCUUCUAAAUUUAUCAAAAUUCAAUAAAGAUUCAGUAGAAAAUAACAACAACAUAUGAAUGGAUAUGCAUACUUUUUUAAAAAAUUAGGCACAGUGAUUCUGAAGUUUAUGCAGAAACAAUUACAGGCCCAGAACGGUUACAGCGCGGCCCCAUACCCUUCCUGGUCUGGUUUGAAAAUCCUCAUCUCAUAGCUGGGGCUGUUUCCCCUCAUUGUUCACAGCUUCAGACAAACAUGGUGAGAAAGGGAGCAGAUUUCAGAUUAUCCAUCCAUCCUGAAUAUCUUAGAAAGAUGCAUUUUCAAUAUUGUUUUCCUGAUAGCGAUGCUACUUACCCAAAUUUGCUUCCCCUCUGGCUCUUAAGUAACAGACCAGAGAAAUCCUGCCACAGAUAAGGAUGUUGUAAAGUUGCCUAAUGAAAUAGCUGGUCUCUGGCUUGUUCCCAGACCUAUUCCCAGGCCAGGGCAGUUUAGAAAUGGACACAAAUUAAAUGAGAGUUUGAGAUAUGAUAAAGGUAGCAGUUGAAAUCAGUGGAAAGAAGAUGAUGUGCUCAAAUAAAUAGUGUUGGGACAAGUACAUAAACAUAUGGAAAAUAAAUUGGAUUUAGUAACUCUUUAUACCAAAAUCCAGAUAAAGCAAUGAUUUAAAUGUGAGGCAUGAGAUAAAAAACAUGAUGGAAGAAAAUGUGGGAAAAGUUAUUAAAACAACCUCAGAAUGAGGAAGCUAUUUCAAAAUUUCAGACCAUAAUCCCUAAUCAUAAAAGACUGACGGAGCUGACUAUGUGAAAUUUAAACAUUUCCACUAGUAAAGAUAUAGAAAAAGCUAACAGACCAAAGAAAAAAGUAGGAUGAACUAUUUUGAAAACAUGUGACAUAGAGAUAUCCUGUGAAUCAGUAAGAAAUAAACAGUCCAAGAGAUAUGAAGGGAUGGCUCAUAAAAAAGAAAAUGCACGAGUUUUAAUCUUCUGAGAACUUCGCUUUGAACAAAACAUUCCCAGUAAAUUAAAGCUUCAGUGUACCAUUUUUUCGCCUAUCAAACUUACAGAUAAAAGUCAUGAUUGUAUACUAGUUGGUGAGGGUGGAAGGCAAUAGGUAUGUUUAUAUAAUGUUCAUCAUGGUACAAGUGGGCACAACCUUUACUGUAUUUGGCAAUACCCAUCUAAAUGUGUACAAAUAAUCUAAUCUCUCUAGAAAUGGGGGGAGAACCUCUUACAAUGAGUCCACUAUAGUGAGGACCAAAAUGUUACAAUAAGCAUAUAAUGAAAAGCAAUACUUAUGAAACUACUUUACAUACAGUAGAGGUUGUCAUAAUUGCAAAUAUGUAGUCAUUUUGGGAAUGCAACUAAAUAAGAGGAGCUGGUUUAUUUUGUAAAGCAUAAUAUGGUAAUGUUCCAGGCCUCUUUGACUUGAUAAGUGACUCUGGCAGCCCUUGCACAGAGGACCACUUAGAGAAUAUUACAGGACUUCCUAGCUUCUCCAAGGGGCUAUGCUGCAUUUUUCAUGAUCUCUUGUGUUCUCUGUUGAAAUGCAUAUCCAGGCAUUAGCCCUGAAUUUUUUUUUUCCCCAAUAACUGGUCUGUGUCCACUCUCCACUGGAGAAAUUCUUAAAUAUUAUGUUCCUUAACUUGAUGAAACCCCCAAUUUCGGCAAGUUUACCAUUCCUCUUUAUAAGUAGUUCACAUUGUGUGUACUUUAUUGUCUUUACUGGACAAGAAACAGCCUGGAAAAAGAUUAGUUAACAGAGAUGCAAGUGGGGAUAAGAUGGUUGGGGAGAAACAGUGUUCCGUGGAGAGCUAAUUUCAAAGGGAACUAAUUUCAUAAAUGGUCGGCUCAUUAGUGAAUAUAUUUGAAUGGUUAAUGGCUAUUUUUAGCCGCCCUAUACAUCCAUCAAUAGGGGAGUUGUUCCAUAAAUCAUGGCACAAUAGAAAGCUCUGCAGCUGUUAAUGAAAAGAUUUGCUAGAUGUCUUAAUAUAGAUCCUUCUCCAGAACACACUAGCAUCUUUGCUUUCCAAUAGCACACACUGGUGCUGAGUGCUUACCAAGAUGCGGGAGGGCUCUCCAGUCAAAUCUGAAAGGUUUCAUUACAGUGUGGCCUCUGUGCCUAACACACUGGCAGUCACUCAAUUCUCAAGCAUUCUGGGGAUGCUUCAUGCCACAAACCAUCAUGCCCCCUGGUCCCUGUGCGAAGAGCUACUGGCCAUCUCCUGCCAAGCAAUGUGUCAGUGCUGCUAUUUGAAAUGCCCAAGGCCUUAAUGAACUGCUCCUUUGACUCUGAAGAGUCCCACCCGUUUCCUAAAGGCCUCUUGUAUUCCUGAACCUGUUUAGAGCCCUUCCACACUACCACCUACAUGUCUUGGCCAUGCAGUGGAGGCCCAACUUUUGCUAGAAAUGGGGUGGUUAGAAGGAAGCAGGAAGACUACAGGUAACAACCUGAGCAGUGAGCAUGUCCUGUCUAGGAAGAGUCCAGCCUUGUGGCUACACAUCUGGCAGAGAUCAGAGGCCGUGUUCCUCACAGAGCACACUGGAAGCCCAACCAUGGGAGCGCAGUACUUCAUCCACCCUGUUCAGAGCUGUCACCUAUCCUUAUUAGUGGCUUUCUGUAUAGAGGUGCCCAGGUAGUAUUUGGAAAGAAAAAUGCUUCUCAGCUAUCCUGCACCACAGGAAAUCAUUAUUGUGUAGGCAGCUCAAAAAGAAGUACAGUGUACCUAUGUGGGAAGUCACAAAGCAAAUACAAAGAAAUACACAUAUAUGGAUCAUGUUACUAUUGGCAUGAAAAGAAGAGAAACAUAAGUGUAUGCACACGCAGAUAUACAUGCAUUUGCUCAAAUAAAAUCCCUCUAGAAAAAUCCAGUACGAAACUGCCAAAAGUGGUAACUUGUAGGGAAGGAAACUUGGGAAUCCGGAUAGGACAGUCUCAAUUGUCACUGUAUUCUUUUUUGUACUCAAUUUGUGCUAUCAGUGCUUAUGGCAUGUAAAGCUUAUUUUAGUAUGAUUUUUGAGCACUGCACUGGUCCACUAAGAAUGGCUUGCUCCUCCCCAGUGUGGCCAGGGUUUGCCAGGCUCUGGGUGGAUGGUGGGUAGCCCUCAGCCCUGUGAACAGCGUGGAUGGCACGCCUUGUGAGCAGCGCUCUCCAUGCACGGCACUGAGUCUGGUUCCUGUCACUCGGUGCAGCGGGAGCUGCUCCAGCACAAAGAGGUAUUUGAAAGGGAAAAGGCAGAGCCAGCUUCAGGGCAGGCCCUGGGCGGGUUCUGGAGAGCCCUGCCACCCUGUGCUGGGGGGUGGCACCCCUACCUCAUCUGUACAGAAUGGGAGGCUCUGGCAAAAUGAGCCCCAAUACUAGGUCUCCUUGCUAUAGGAUUUUGAGGGGAGUGGUUUUGAAAGAAAGGAAUGAGCACAGCAUGUCCUGAUUGCUGUGUCUCACUAAAUAUUUAAGUUUUUAUGUAACUUUUUCCCGUUUUCAGUAAUCUUGGAUUUUGGUUAAUGUGAAAUGACAACAAACAAUGUAUUUUUUAAUUGAUUUGCCUCAUGUCUAUUACUUUAAAUGUUUUCUAAUGCCUAGCCACAUCUCAAACUUAUUUUUUUGUAACUUAACUUAGAUUCUGCUCAACAUUCAUGUUUUAAAUUGCCCAAAUGCUGCUUUGGGGAGGGGUGAGUUAUCUUCACUACUGAAACAGCUCCCUUGGGAGCUGGCUUGGCGCUGGCUCUUCUAGGGAAAUGACACAAAGUUGAUCUAAGAGGGGCCCUCACCGCUCCCCACUGCAAUGCUAACCCCAGCAGGGGGGAGGGGAAAAAGAGUCCAUGAGCCUGAGCUUCCCUCCAGGCCUACCCAUUCAGGACAUGCUGACACUCAGUCUCUCUGCCCUUGGCUUCCCCGUCCCCCACCUGGACUCUGGCAGAGAAGCUAGGCGGGAAGCAGCUAGCCGAGUGCCCGCCACUGUAAGAGGAAACGAAGAGAAACAGCUCCAGGCAGCCCCAGAAGCGAGGCCUGGAAAAACUCUGCAGCUGGAGCUAACACAAAGGACUUUUCAGACCCUGCAGCCAAGGUGCCCAGUGAGCAUUUUUUUUAAACAGCUAUUAGGGUGACAAGCCUUUCCAAAGGCCAGCAGUUGGCAAGAGUUUCCAGGAAGCUGGUCUGGCACUGGGCUGGGAUCGGAGCAACUUUAAUGAGUGAAGUUCAGAAGGAAGGAGUCAUCAGGAAAGGUUUAAGGUUCAACAAACUUUUCGAAUUAUUUCGCAAAAAGUUCUGGCUUUCUAAUUCCCGGGCAUGUUUCACUCUGGUUGUUUCAAACCACCAGAGCCUAUUUCACAGUCAGUGCCACCUGCAUGUUGCUGAUACAGUCACUAGAGGUAUUUGUCUAACUCCCAGGGACGGCUUUGCAAGUACCAGCCGGCGCCUAGGAACAGUAGGGUCAUCUCAUCUUGUCAAACAGCCUCCACCCACGUGCCUUCGCCUUCUGCCAUCUCCAUGGCUGUGUGCACGCUCACAUGCACACCUUCCCCAAGCAGGAAGCUGCUCUCUGCCAAGAGCGAAUGGAAUUCCGAUUUCCAGAGGGUGCCCUUGGCCUCCAGCUCCAUGGCUGUAUGAGGAAGAAAGGUCCUAGUGUGUGUGCUGGGGGCUGGGAGAGAGAGAGGCCUCCAUCUCCGUUCACGUCUCUCUAGGCCCCAAGACAAACCCACAACUGGCUGUGCUCUCCCCAGCCACACCCAGCCUCAGUCGCAUUCCUUCUCUUCCUGAGCCCACACUGGGUGGCCCCGCAAAGCAGCUUGCACACCUCCCUUCCCACCACAGGGGGACCUGCCCAGGCCCCCAAGAGAUAGCCAGACAAGUGAGAGGCUCACACUGCAGGCCCACAGCAGCUACAAAGUGUGGAAGAGUCCUCCAAAGCAGUCCCCAUGGAAGAAGACACACUUGUUCCCUAUCCACCAGUCCCUGAGACUAAACUUCCAGGCCUUCCCAUGCCUGUUUUCAGUAAGUCUUUCUUUUUAUCCAGUCAUCACUUGACUGACCUGGGACCUGGGACCACCAUCACUGGUGGACCUGGGAAGGAAGGGCCACCUUAAAGGCUUACAUAGCCUUUCUCUACUAGAGGUUCCCAACAUACUAACAAGGAGGCCUGGCACCCUUGAGAGUCAAAACAUUUAUUGGAAAACCAGGUAAAUGAGUCAAAAGUUGUGAUCAGCAGAGGCAAAGUGGACAAGGUUACUCAUACUUCUCUUUAGCCCAAGUACUUGGACUUUGCAUGGGUAGAGGUUAGGCAGAGUGACCAUUCUGCCAGUAGUUAGAAUGGACAAGUAGUUGUGAUAAGCAGGUACGUUUAUCUUCAGUGUUCAAUGAAGCCUGGCACUAAGCUAGAACCAACAAGGCCUGGUGCCCAGGCAGAGGAUUUGGUAAACAAAGGCCAACCCGAGCUCCUUUCCGACUGUUCCCUUGGUUUGCUACUAAGACUUAUUUUCAAAUGCUGUAGCCUCUGAGCAGCCAAGAUGAUUUCUCCUGAGAUUGACUCUGGGGAGAAGACUCUAGGUUGGCAGCCUGGAUCUUGACAUUUUACCUGUUCUUAAAGUCUAUACAUGUUAUGUCACAGUUGGGCUUCUUUCCUUGGCUCAGGGGCUUAUUUUGAUCCUCAUGUCUGAGUCAGGAAUAGUAUUUUUCUUUGGAGUCUUCUGACUGUACCAUGAAGUGUUAUUAUGGCCUGAGUAGCCAACUUCACUAUCCCUUUUGGCUAGCCCUAGACUUCAUCUUUAAGUAUUUAUGUCAUGGUUCAACUCUGCCAACUUUUCCUUCCUGGCAGAGCCUGGAGUGAACUUGGUUGGGAGUCACUAUUUCUCACUACCUAGGAGACCCUGCAUGGUCAGGCCCAAAGCCUUGAGUGGCAAGUAUGGCUUAUCCAGCAGUCAGUUGGCCAGGGUGUAGUACUCAGGGAAGGUCCUCUAUCAGCUGCUAAACUGGGGCCACUUGCCAGCCCUGGUGAAGGGGACUGGCAGAGCCAGGUAUAGGAGAUAGGCCUCACUAGGCCAGCAAAAGAGCACGGGACUAGGAACCAGGUGUCCUGGCCUCUCACCCUCCAUUAGCUGGCCUUGUCCUCUGGUCAGGGUUGUCUUAUCUUAGUCUUUGGGUUCUGGUUUCCUGUUGGUCCAUCUCUUGAUGCCUAAAAGGAAUGUUUUCCUGACCAAAACCCAGGUCGUACAGUCUGAUGGAGUCUGAUGGAAUCACUUCUCAUUGUGAGAUCCAAGCUGGUGAUGGAGGGGCCUGGCAGCACAGAGCUCCUAGGUACUGCCAUGAAAUGUGGGGAGAAUUUCUCAUGUGAAAUCCAUCUGAGUUUCUGAGGUAGACAGUCCCACUCCUGGUCCUAUGCACACCCCAGCCUGAGCUCAGUCAAGCAAGCCUUUCACCGAGCAUUAUUCCACUGAAGGCCAGCUACACCCUAAAGUCCCUGCUUCUGCUAAUGGCUAGUCCACACACUCAGUUGGCGGGGUUUAUGGGACAGUUCAAAAAGAACAGCAGGAAGAUAAAGCAUUCAAGUGUUUCAGACUGGAAGGGAUUCAGUUUAACUUAACAAAUCCAGACAUGAACCUAAAGAAAACAGUGAAAAAUAAGCCCACCUCCAAAAGGCCCAAGAGGAAGGAUUAGGUAGAAGAAAGAUCCUCUCUGGGCAGAGGAUGGUUGUCCCAGUCUGGAACAUUGGGGAGCAGGGGAGGACACUGGGCCUGAAUGCAGGUGAGAGCCAGGGGAUAAGCCUAGAAUGCACCCUAGGCGGGCUUAGGUGAGAAGUUCUGAUUUGACCUUGGGCCCCAUUCUUUCUACCCCAGAGGGAAAGACCAAAUGCCAGAAGAAUGGUAGUGGGGCACAGAGCCCAGCCUCCUGACACUACUCACCCCCACUCUCCACCCCCUGCUGGCUCCCUGAGAGUAGCAGCAUAGGCCCACAACCAUGGCAAGGGUAUGUGUCUCCAUCUAGGGAGGAACCUUGACGGAGUGUGAACAUGUGGGUCAUUCCAUUCUCUUGCACAGCCCUGUCUACACCACCACUGCCCAAGUACUCUCUACCAACUUGAAAACCCACACUUUGCUCUGCCUCAGUUUCUCCAGCAAGGCCACUGUUACAGUAAAGUUACACUUUGGGUGCAGUGCAGUCUGAUUUAAUGUGAUGGGUGCAGUGCAGUCUGAUUUAAUGUGAGGGCUGUGUGCCAAGGUCUUUAAAAAAAAGCAGGUAGAGUAACAGUGAUCUUCGAAAACCCCUUGAGUUGAACCCAAAAUAAUCCUUUUCCCACAGCUUUUUUUUUCUUGUUUCUCAUGCCUAGUGAAGUAGGAGAGAGGGGCUGUGGAUGUCCUGGGUCCCUGGGAGAGGCCUGCUAAAUGUCCUUGCACCUCCUGCCAUCCCAGAGGGAGCCUUGGGGGCUGUAGCCACAUGUGUGGAGAGAUAACUUAAAGAGAAGAUCAAAGCAGAUGAGGGGCCAGAGCUGAGAAGGCAGAGCUGUCUGUCUGGCUUUGAGGCUGAUCCUGGAUUCCCAUCUAUCUCUGUCUCUUUUUAUUUCUCUUCCUUUUCUCGCUGCUUUCAAGAUGGCACCCCAGGUUUUCCAUGGAGCUAAUCAGAUCUGACAAACUUACAGUCAGACCUCCUCUUCUAGCUAGUCAGUCACCUCCAGAGCUGCCAAGGACAGUCCAGCUGUGGCCUCUGCGUAGGACGUUGUACUUACCUUAUCCCUAAAAGGUCUGUUCCUAGAAAGCUUAGUAACCACCAUGAGAAGCCACAAGGCUGGGCUACUCUGCAUCAUGGGAGGACAGGUGAGCCUUGCCCACGGCCCUUGGCUUCCUUCCUGGUAGUCUUAUGUGGUAUCUAUAGAGGCUACCCUCACAGAAUUCCCCUUGCGGAAAGUAGCUAUAAAACCCACAUGAUCAGUAUCCAGGCCAUCCCAUUCUGCACAGCGGCCUCCUGUGCCAAGGAUCAUAGAAGCCCUUUGUUUCCAUGCAGCCUCAUUGCUGACCUCCCAACCCUCACGACUCCAGCCUGUCUUCUGCCAGAGACUCAGGCUCCUUUAAGUGAGACUAUGUCUGGGAAUGAGCCCUGCUUCUGCUAUCAUCUCCUGGGUGAUAGUAGUCUUUUCGCUUGUGAGGCUUCAAUUUCCUUGUCUACAAUCUGAGGUGACUGACCUCUUAGAUGGUCUGUAGCCUCUGAGUCUGUAAUACUGUACUGCUGCCCCAUUUGGGGUUAUCUUUUCAUCGCUUGCUUGUGGGUUUCUCAGACGAGGCAAGCCACAUUGAUCCUCGGUCACAUGCGGGGUUAAGGGGAGGCAGGACACACAAAUCAUCCUGCUACUUACUCUGCUAAAGGUGGGUGCCAGUAUUGGCCGGUAGGCCCAAUUGAUGAGAACAAAUGACAUGCACCAUGGGCCUCUGUGACUGCACAGGCUUCUCCUCAUUUCUUCCUCACUGUGUGGUUCUUCUGCCGACUUCCCCUGCCACCACCUGACUCAGAUCACUCUGAGACUUGAGUCCCACGCCUCUAGGUACAUCUUGUUAAGGACAGUGCUCGAUAGCCCAGCCGUAUUUGUAUCCCAUGGAAACUCACCCAAACUGGCAGUUUUAAUUAGUUAAUUAAAAAAAAUUUUUUUUGAGAUAGGAUCUGGCUACCUAGGUCCAUUUGGCCUGAAACUCAUGCUGUAGCCCAGGUUGGCCUCCAACUCAUGGUGAUUCUUCUGCCUCAGCCGGAUUGCUGGGAUUAUAGGCAUGCUCCUCUGGCCGGCUUGUUUUGGAUUUUUUGAAUAGGCACACUGUAGUUCAGGCUGGCCUUGAACUGCUUACGUAGCUCAGGUUGGGCUCAAACUUGUGACAGUCUCUUGACUCAGCCUGCCAAGUGCUUAGAUAACAGGUGUGUGCCAUCACACCUGGCAGGAUCUGGCAGUUGUAAAGCUCAUGCAAAUAAGGGCUGUCCCCACAGGAUCUGCCAGUACAGCAUGCCAUUAAAAUGGCUUGCAUUUAUCAGGCCUUUCCCAUGUCAGGCAAUAUGACUGGAUACCUGACCCCAUCUCCUUGAGUCUUCACACUCAACAUGUUGAUAAUACAGUCCCAGUGUAUACAAAAGGAAGUUACAGCUUACAGAGGUUAGGCAAGAAGCCUAGGGUUGUGUGAGUAGGGUGAAUGACCCAAGUUGGCCAGGGUUUCCUGGGGACACUUUUCCUCAUCCUGGUUAGCAUAUAUCGAGCCAAACUGUUAGCUAAUGAAAAAAUAAGUCUGACAAACUGAUCUCUACCCAUAUACUUGAAAACUACAGGAUACAACAAGAAAAAUAAAAGAUGACCUAACUAAACAAGGAACACACCAGGCCAUUGUUCAAGAGCCCUAAUGCAAUACAGAGAUCUGCUCUCCUGUGCCCAUCUAGAGGGCCAAUGCAACUCUAGGGGACAUUUUCCAUGGAAGCUGGCAGGUAUAUGGUAACACACAGGCCUUAUAAAACUCAGCCAGUCAUGAGGAAGACCAGCCAGAACCUGCAUGCCCAGCUGUCAAGACCUGUUAGCAAACUGCAGUGAUAACCAAGUAUGGCAUUGGCCAAAAAGAACAACUCAGAUCUGACCAGUGGAACUGAGUAGGGUCCAGAAGCAGAAAUCCAUGUCGAUAGUGAGCUGAUUUACAAUGAUGCCGAUACUACAGAGUGAUGGGGCCAGGAUGGUCUCUUUAAUAAAGGCUACUGAGGCUAACUGGAUAGCCAAGUGCAGGAAAAGCAUACUUUGACCUCACUCUCACAUUGGACACAAAAAUCUAUUCCAGAUGGACUGCAGAUCUACAUGUGAAAGGUGAGCUAAUAAAGCUUCGGAACAAACCAGAGUAUCUUUAUGACCUUGGAGUAGUCAAAGUUUCUUAAGUAGGACAUAAACAGCACUAUCCAGAGAGGAAAUGUUUGAUUAACUGGACCACAUUAAAAUUAAGACCUUCUGUUCUUCAGACACUAUCAAGAGGGGAAGAAAGGCAACAUGCAGAGGGGGAGCCAGAUUUGAAAAAUACACACACACGUAUGACAAAUGACUCUUAUCCAGGAUAUCCAAGGUAUGUAAAGAUACCAAGAACUACAGCUUUGUUAAAAAAAAAAAAAAAAGACAUGUGCCACAUAAAAUAAGCAGAAGAUGUGGGCAUUUUACAAAAGAUGAUGCAGGUGAUGGACUAAGGACAUGGAAACGGGCUCAACUUUAUUACCCAUUACUACAAAUUACUACAAAUUAAGAUGAUCAUUUGGUGCCGGUAGACAUCCACCAGUGUGGCUAAGAAGGAAACAAUGAAAAAUACCCAGUAUUUUAUGGAGGACCCUGAAUGCUCCAAUGACACAUUGCCAGGGGAGUGAAAAUUGGGAUGACAGCGUCAAGAAACUGGCAGUAUUUGCAGAAAGUAAAUAUCUGGCCAUCCAGCGAUUCAUCAGUUCUACCUCUAGGCAUUUAUUCAGCAAAAACAAAGCCAUAUAUUUACAUACACAAUACUCUUAGCAGUCCCAUACCAGAAACUGUCCAGUGGCUAUAAGGUAGCAGAAUGAAUAAACAAAGCAGCCAGACCAGGCACAGUGGAAUGCCAGAUAGCAAAGAGCCUGGUGGGGCCACUGCUCUCUUCAGCCCCAUGAGUCAGACACAGAGAGCACACAUUGUGAUUCUUUCUAUGUAAAACUCAGAGGCAGAUAAGCCUCGCUGUAGUUGCUGGAAGCCAGGCUUGUGGGCUACUCUUGGGGUUCCAGUGACAGAAAGUGAGAGCCUUAAGGGCAUCCUCGGAGUUCUGUUGCUUUUUCUGGGGGCUAUUUAUAGGGGUCUCAGGUGGGAGAAAUGCAUCAAGCUUGCACUGAAGAUCUGUGUACUUUACCCUCUUCUGUGUGCUGUACUUUAAAAUUACAUGUUAAUAAACCAAUACCUUAUACAAGGACAGCAUUCCUUGAGCCCAACUAGACAGAUGCAUAGGCUAGUGCUGGGCUUUGCCUCUUGACCUCAUCAAGAGGAUGCAUCCUUCAAGCCCCCAAAUGAGGUCACUUUGGACCUCAACUAACUUUGGCUUACUCUGUGACUCCCCUUCCAGCUCUAGGCAAGGCAUACAGGGGAGAUGUUUGGGACAUCCUUCCCAACAAACACAAGGAAUAUCUCUUAUGACACCAUUAGUGAAUUAUGUGAAGCCAUUUUGUUCUCCUGCCACCUCUAUGGUGUGGACAUUCUCCUCUGCACUGCCUGUCUGACCGAAUACCAUCAUGGCUUGGAGGUCACAAAUGGUAAGGAUUGAGCCUGACCAAGGAAGUGAGAAUUCUUGCUUCUUUCCUUCCAGACUGUAGUUCCCUCCACAGAGCAAUAAUCCCCAUGAGGCCACCGCAUCCUUCUCAUGUGUUCAGAUGGAGACAGCGAAGCUUGGAAAGUUUAGGGGCCAAGGCAGGCUUCCUGCAGCUGGGCCUUUGCAGGCUGGGAGCCAGAUUGAGGGCAUCCAGUUCCCAGUCCUGUCUCAUUCCCACUGAGCCACUCUGCCUCACUUUUAAUUUAAUUAGGAGAACAUUUAAUCCGCUUGUGCAUUUUAGAGACGGGUUUGAGCCUGGCCUGAGCUAUGUGGGGCUCUGCCGGGGAUCCUGUGACUCACACAGCCCUAUGCAGCCCUCCCAGCCAGUCUCCCAAGGGGCUUCCUUGGCACCUUGUGCAGACAGAGGUGGUCUGGAGCCUCAGAGGAGACUGGACACUGAUCAGGGAAGGUAAACUGGUGUCUUGUAUUCUUGGCACACUCCUCUCUGUUUCCCUGGCCACUGGACCCGAGAGAACUUUUCAGUCCUCUCCUACCAAUGUCUGCAGGCUGAGCACCCAAGUGAGGGAUGUGGAUGGUUACUGAGGUUCAUUGCCCAGUGCCUUGACAGGCCCUGGGAUCUCCAAAAUGUCCUGGGCAAAGCUGGUCCCAUCAUAAAGCUAACCCCGAGUCUAAAGAGCUAUGUUCAGGGCUAGACUUAUGACUUAUGCCUCUAUUUCCAGAAAGCAUGGGCUAGCCCUGGCUUCACUGACAAAUGCAGAAUUCAAGAGACAUUAGUAGUGAUGUAGAUGAAAGCCAGGCCACAGUGGCCUCACUGGAAAAGAGAAACUUGAACGUCUUGGCGUGAGAUUCUGCAGGGUCCAGGAGAAAGUUGAAGACAUGGAAAUUCUAAUUAACGCAUGGGGGGCUGGUUUUGCUCAAGGAUUUUCGAAGCUGUCAUGUCGCAAGAGACCGGGCAAGCACAUGCUCGCCAGGGAGGUGCUGACAGUCACCUGGUGGGUUCUCUGCAGUGCCUUAGUCUGUAAGCUCACUUUCCUUAUGCCUUCUUUCCAUCCCUGUGCUUGGCCACACCCUCUCGGUAGACAGGGUGCCUCCUGAAUGUCUGUCAUGGGGAAGGGGAGCUGGUAAUGAUAAGUGGAGGCCUGCCAUCCAAGUGCUAUAACAGAAAACACAGCAGGGCCAGGGACAACUCUGAGCCCUUCGGGGGAACCAUGCAAUGGGGAAGGGCUGAGCCACAGGCUGCUGGGUACAUGGUGGUCUUGGCUUCUUGGCCCGGCCAUUUUGGUUAUCCAUAUGUAGCUAAUGGGACAGAUGUGUGCUUCCAGGCCAGUUCGGCUGGCUCAGCAGCUGCAGGGAGGGAGUGAAGGAGGAUUUCACAAAUGUGGCUGUGGGAGAAGUACACCCAGGCCACACUCACAAGUCCUUGAGCUCAGAGGUGCAGAGCUUUAUGCCUGGAGCCUUGUGGCAGAAUGCAUGGGAGGUACCCACAUCCCUUUCUGCAUAUUCUCAGGCAGGGCCGAGGAAGUGCUCUUUGCAUGGGGUGCAGGGUAUUGGAACUUCUUUCUGCCUUGAGUUUUGGGGUUAAUGCCCUGCGCUUCCUCCUAGCCCUGAGCAAAGUGCUCAGGUUAGUGGUACUUAGGACCUUGAGAGCCCGAGAAGGUGGUAGCUGCCCAACCUGCAAGCACCUAGGAAUGGGGUCCAUGAGGAGCAAAUGCUGAAAAAUGAUAGGAUUCAGAUGGCCAGAUGAGUAACAAGAAUGUUCCAGAUGAUAGGAUACUGUAUAUAAAGCACAGGAACACACACACAGGAGUGUCCAUGUUCCUCUCCUGUCCUACCAGUGACCCUUGAUGGACACAGACAGUAGUAGGUAGAGCAGGAUCAUAGGAACUCUUUUUGUUGGGAUAUAGGGUUCCCCUUCUCUCAUGGAAGGCCCCCCACAUGCUGCUCACAAUGGCUUCCAUCUCUGUUCAUUCUCAGCCUGAAUUUCAGUGGAGGACUCAGGUUCAGUGCUUGGGAUCUAAAGGCUCCCUCAGACUUGUCAGACCCCGGAAGUCAGCAUCUGGUAGAGAGGUAUGUGUGAGGUUGGGGGCACUCAAGCCAGCUGGCCCUGGAGGCUACAUGUAAGCUGUGGGUGCUUGCCUACUGGGCUGGGGCUGACAAAGCCGAAGUCCCCCCUGCAUCCCGUGCUGCAGUCCCUACUUGUCAGUGAUCCUCUAGUUUUCACCAGGCCUAUUUGCUGGCUUCUUGCCCCUCAAAGCACUACUGGCCAACAGGCCCCGGAAAGAGGAGCUUCGCCCAGACCCUGGGACCUUCCCGUAAUCAAGGCUGUGGUGACCUCACCUCCCUGGGGCCCUGCAGGCGGGGAGAGCUUGAGAUGGAAACAAAAUGUGUCUUUAUUUAUGCUUUUAAUUUGAAUUCUGGAACUGGCCCAGCAUGGUAAUACAUUUAACAUCAGUAAAAUACUGAAGAAAAAUAGAUUUGGCUUUUGACAACCACCUCCCACCCACUUUGCCCCCUGUGAGACCCCUGUACUCAUCCCUGUCCUUUGUACACACAUCAGGGCACGUUCCUCUCUUCCUAGUGCAGGUCCAUGGGGCCAGCUGCCCCCAAGAGCUGUGUUGCAUCCCUGCACAGCUGGAGCCUAGUUUAAUUACAGGCAUCCAUCACCAAGCACACUGGGCAGGAGGUGGUGGAAUGUAGCCCCAGUGGGGCACAAAGGCCUGGCUACCCCUGUCCUACAGGCAGUUAGGCUCUGGGUAAAUACAUACAGUGUCCACUGUGGCUCGCCUGCUCCCCUAGGUUGGGGUGAAGGCUUGGCUCUGGGGUCACUUGAGCUCCAAAUACUCAGUACUAACGCAGUACUGUACCUCUGUUGCUCCCUACCAGGAUUUCUUGAAGGGAUGGCACCCAACUCCUGAGGAUUCAGGUGGCCAGAUUGCUUGAUGCCUCAAUCCUGACUCUGAUCAGAUCACAACUUUUUGUAAAACUUUGUUCUUUCCUCUCCCAGCCUCCACCCAGCCUUCUCUUUCUUGCAGAGGAGAUCGUGGCUAUGCUAGAGCCCAGCUAACAGUAGAAGUGCAAGAGGCCCCAGUAUAGCUAGAGACGGGCUUAUGAUGUGCCAGGACCACAAAAGGCAGAGGGCUUGGGUUCUGCUAUUUUAAAAGGGACAUGAGAGACUACCUGGUCACCUGUGCCAUGAGGCCACACUUGCUUGGAGUUGCCUCUAGAUUGGCUGGGCAGCCUCUGGCUCUAGAGAGCUCUGAAUGUACUAGUGGCAACAUGAGUAGUCUUUCCAAAGGGAGCAAUUAUAGGGCUGCUGUAGGCUUUGUUAUGGGCUACAUGGGUCCCUUGUCAUCCACCAGUGUCCCCUAGACCUUCCUGCAUGGUUGGCACACAGUCCAAGAGCUGGCAAGGCUUCCAUGUCCUGGCCAUGAGAAUAAAGGACAAUGUUCUCCAAUAGGGGGUAAGUGGCCUUGGGCUACAUGGGUCCCUCGUCAUCCACCACUGUCCCCUAGACCUUCCUGCAUGGUUUGCACACAGUCCAAGAGCUGGCAAGGCUUCCCUGUACUGGCCAUGAGAAUAAAGGACAAUGUUCUCCAAUAGGGGGUAAGUGGCCAGAGGACAAGAAAGGACAGGUUGAGUAGCCCUGUGAGAUCUAUGUGGCAUCCUGGCCCCUCAUGGGGUUCCCAGUGUACUCUUGAACAAUGCUGCUCCAGAGUAGGUACUCCAUCUAUCCUGCACAUACCGCCAGCUACAGAACUCCAGUCUUCACCACUUUGGGGUCUCCCUGGCAGCUGGUAGCUCUAGGUUGCUAAAGACAGGCAGUGGGGGUCUGGACUUGAUUGGGACUCCCAACAAUAGUCAACCAUCCUGUGAGCCUGGAUGGUCUUGUUUGGUCAUAAUCAUACCUUAGGACAACCAGUCCUUUCCCAUAGAGUGGCCUCCUUUAGGCUCUCCGCUCUGCCAGUUUCAGCACUAGGAGUUCCAACUUCCUUAGUCAGCUGUAAGACCAAAUCCACACCUGGCUAGUAGCAAAAGCAGGAGGUCCAGGGCCUCACUAUGACAAAGAGGCACACAGUUCAUUCAGGACAAUCUCCUGACCCCAACACCCCCCCCCCCCACGAGUCAGAAGAACAGAAGAUGCUAGAGAAACACAAGAGAUGGGAAGGGUCCUAGUAAGUGGCCCUCAGAAGGGCUGAGAGUGUGGCUGUCACAUCCUGACACAAAGACUUCACAAGGAAACUCCCCAUGGAGGUGUGGCCAGCAUGGGCCCAGUGCCCCACUGACCCCACUGCAUGGCUGUCACCACUGGGCGCUUGGUUUGGAGCACUGAGUCACACAUCACAGGGGAAUCACACCAUGGCCGGGCACCAGGGAUUGGCCUGGUGAUGCCAUGACGGCGGGGGAGGAUGGCAUGUAUCCCAGGCCAGCUGUGCCUCAGGGGAGGCCAACUGGAAGGCGUGGAGAAUCAGCCAUUUCCUCCACCUGAAGGAGCCCCUGAGGACAGCAGCGGCAACUGGCAGACAGCACCCGGCAUCUGCCCCAGAGCUUUGGCCAGGGUUCCAUGGGGAAAUGCUAAAAAACAAAGUUGACUCUUUCUGGGGUUGGAGGAGGAGGGGGCAAGGGGAGAGAAAAACAAUCUUCUCAGACACUCGAAGCAUGAAAACAAGUAGAAAAUGAUCAGUCUGGUUUUCCAUAAGUCAAAACAGGAGGAUCGGGUUCCCAGACUCCUCAGGAAAUGCCCUUGUCCUUUCCUGUUCUGCCUAGUGCCUGGCAUUGGGGCCAUGCCUGGCAGCUGGUAGCUCUAGGUUGCUAAAGACAGGCAGUGGGGUGCUGGGUGCUGGGUGAAUAGACAGCACCCUGACACAUGAACAAACCUUGCCCCUGUGCCAAAUCAUCCCCUCUGAGCCCCAUUCCCCUUUAGCCCAGCCUCUGUGGGUGACUGGGGACUCACUGUGACACGUGGGUGAUGGGGGUCAACAGUGUCUCCCCUUCCAAGUCCAGAUCCUCGGCAAAGCUGUUGGUUCUCAUGAAGUGGGUUGGGCUUACUUCCAGCAGUGUGGGGCUCUUCCUCACUGUAGAAAGGGUGGGCGACAGCACAUUAGGCCUCCAACUUGGGGCUUGACGAAGGAGCCCCAGAACUGGGCUUAGAUGCCCACCCUCCACAUCUCUCACCACUGUGGGAGAGACCUGUGAACUCUCAGGUUCGGGUGAGAAGUAGAAAUGGUACCCAGAUGCCUCAGCGGUGUGAGGUGCGGUAGAGGAGUGUUUAAGGUGGCCCCCAGUGCCUGAGACCUCAUAGUGGUAAGAAUGGUAAGGUAAGGGCCAGAGAAUCUUCCUCAGUGUGGCAACUACCUGGGGCUGAGCACAGGAGUUCAGGACUCAUCCUAUUUCAUGUUCUGGUCUCUCCCCAGCUUCAUGUCUGACUUUUGGGUCAAGAAUAGAACAUGGAUACCAGACACAGAUCUAGUUGAGACACUGGCUCUCACUGGAAAUGCAGUUAUAAAAUGAUAGGACUGCGGGCCAGGGCAGUAGGAUGCCUGCACCUAGAAGUCACAUGGCUGCCUUUUCAUUCUGGCUAUGAUGCCCUUUUAAACACUUACAUCCUGUGGGAGGCAAAAGAUUCAUCCCAGUAGCUGGCUUCAUACUCAUAUUCCUGAGCCCCUCAGUGACUCUGACACAGGACCUCAGAAGACUGAUCCACUUUGUAUUCACUCUCAACUUAGUAAUAGUAUUGCAAGCUGGGUAAGGUGGCCCAUGCCUGUAAUUCCAGCACUUGGGAGGCUGAUGCAGUAGGAUUGUUGUGAGUUCGAGACCAACCUGAGCUACAAAGUGAACUCAAGGCCAGCCUAACCUGUAUAGUGAGACCCUAUCUCAAAAAAAAAAAAAAAAAAAAAAAAUGCAAAAGAAUUCAGUACUCCUAAAGAAGCGGAAUGAUUGAAAGAUUCACAAUGGCCUUCCUCUUCCGGUGUCACCACUGUUAACCUGUAGGUGGAUCCCUAGCUCCUGCCCACUCUGCUCAUAAGAAUACACAGGCUAGGCAUGAACUGCUUUUUAUACAUGUGAGACAUCUCUUGUUUUGUCUGUUUUUGCCUGGUUUUGUUCCUAUUACUUUGCAAUACACUCAUGUCUUCGUCUAGAUAUGUCCAAGUGGAUCUGAUGAUCAUUUUAUACAUUUUUUUAAACUUUUUAUCGGUACCAGGGAUCGAACUCACGACUGCCUGCUUGCAAGGUAGGUGCUUAUGCCGCUGAGCUAAAUCCCCAGCUGAUAAUCAUUAUUUAAUAGCUACAUGAUAGUCCAUAGCUUAGCUCUACCACAAUAAAUUCAUCCACUGUAUUUUGUAUGAAAAUUAAGAUUCUUUUAGUUUUAAGCCAUUUCUUCAGGCAAUAAUGCAAAGAAUACCCAUCUUUAUUUAAAAAGGUGAUAUACUGGAGCAAGGCAAGAGAGUGUAUCUUUGUUUUUAAUAAAUGUUGUGAUUGCUUUUCUAGUAAGUUGUAGCAACUCAUUCCUUCCUCCUACCCACAAAGUCCCCAUGUGUUCACUAUCACAACCCUUCGUAGGUCUUGCCAAACAGGCAAAAAUUGAAGUCUGUUCUCAUUUUCACUUGUACUAAAUGCCUUUUACGGGGUUUCUUCUCGCAGAACUGCUUUUCAUAUAUCUGUUGCUCACUUUGCUUGUUACUUUUUAGAAAAUUUUAAUAUUAUAGAUAGCAACCUUUUUUUAAUAUAUAAGGCAUAACUAUCUCAGUCUAUCUUUGGUCUUUUAACCUUAUUAUGUUGUUUUUAUCACAGAAAAUGUCUUUUUGUUUUACAGUGAUACAUCUUUGCUUUAUGAAAAAGGAAGACUUUCCCACAACUAAGUAAUACAACUGUCUUUUAAAUUUAUGUGUGAAUCGGUGUGCAUUCAUACAUAUGUGUAAACUUUAAUAUAUAUAACAUUGUUGUCUAAUUUGAGAGGUGAUCAACAAUAAUAAAAUAAAAUUUAAAAGGCAGUAUAUACAAUCUUACUAAAAAAAACUAAAGUAAAAUGUAAAACUAUAAAACUUUUGGAGGAAAACAGAGAAUCACUGGGACUUUGGAUUUGGCAGAAGGAUUCCAGAUACAAUAGCAACAACUUAGCUGGAAGAAGAAAAGAAUCAACAAAUUGUACUUUAUCACAAUUAAAAACGUUUGCUCUGUGACAGACUUUCAGUGGAAUGAAAGGGCAAACCACAGAUUUGGAGAAAACAUUUUCACUUAUUGAGUCAAUGACUAUGCCUACAAUACAUGAAGAAUGUUUAUAAUUUUACAAUAAUAAAGCAAAUAGCCCAGUUUUAAAAACUGGAUUACAAAUAAGCAUAUGAAAAGGUACUCAACCAGAAACAAUAAUCAUUGGAGAAAUACAAGUUAAAACCACAGUGAGAUACCACUAUAACCUUAUAAGAAUGGCGAAAUUUCUAAAAAUCAAAACCGAGCAAUACGGAAUAGUAUUGGAUUACAACAAAACUCACCAGGUUGCAGAGUGUCUGGAAUGCUCACAUGUUGGUGGGAAUGAAAAAUGGCCCAGCCACUUUGGAAAACACUUUCGCAGUUUCUUAAUCCCUUUCUCAAGUAUUUACCCCAUCUGAAUAUUUACAUUUAUAAAAACACGUGCAUAAGUGCACGUAGCAAUUUCACUUACAAUUGUUGAAAACUAGAAACAACCGAGAUGUCCUUUGACAGAUGAACAAAUGAACAAACCAUGUUUCGUUUAUUCUAGCCAUGCAGUGGAAUAUUACUGAGCAAUACAAAGAAGUGAACUAAACAUUCAUGUAACUACAUGGGUAAAACUCACGUGCAUCUUACUAAGCAAUGAAAGAAACCAGAUGCAAAAAAGCAUUUGUGUUAUAUGACCCAAUUUAUAGGACAUUUUAGAAAAAGCAGACCCUAUGGGACCAAAACCAUAUUAUUGGCUGCUAGCAGUUUUGGGCAGGAAGACUGUAAGAAAUUCCUCUGUAGGAUACUGUGGUGGAUGUAUGAUUUAAGGCAUUUGUCAAAGCUCAUAGAGCUGUAACUCUCUAAGUGAAUCUUCCUUUAUACGAAUUAAGAAUCAAUCAGAAAAUUGGAGGUUCUUAGGAGGAAAGUAAAUUACAAUGAGUGGGUUAUUAACUGUGUUACAAAUGGAUGACAUAGCACUGAAAGGACAGGUCAAAAAGAAGCUGGCUUACUGUUGCUUUCAAAAACAAUUAUUUUUGAGUGGACACUGAGUAGCUAAGGACAAAAAAGAAAGAUUUACUGACAUGAACACUAUAUACUUUUAAGAUAAGUUUGUUUCACAAAAGAGUACUUCCUGUACAGCCAGGUUAGUAAAUAUACUACAUAAUGGAGGCCAGGGCCAGGGCCAGGAAAACAAGGAUGUAAAGUGUAGUCAGAAACAUCAGUAUAAAUAUAUGAAUAUUUCCUAACUCUAUAUCCUGACAGGAGUUAGAAACCAACCGACACCUCAGAGCAAUGAGCAUAAGUACCCACCUCAUGUUUACUGUAUGCCAGUACUAUUAAGUUCUGCAAUAUAAAGAACCAAUACAAAGAACCUCUCUGGAUGAAUGGGUUUAUCCACCUUAACACCCGGAAAAUAUAAAAUGGAUCUGAAGUAUUGUUCAGUGCUACAAAGGAAGGAAACACAAAAAUAAACAAAAAAGAAGGAUGGGACAUGUCAAAAGGACACAUACCAAACAGUGGACAAAGCUAGAAUAAGUUAAGCAACAAAAUAACAAUAGUAUUGAAUUAUAACAAAAAUGCAUACGCCUUAGUCCAUACUGAUAAAUUGAAAAGGGAGAGAUAAGUCUUGCUUACUGAAGAACUCCGAAUAGUAAGCAUAGAAAGACUGAAGAACAUAGAAAUACACCACCAUAAUAUUUGCUGCAGGAAAGCUCUGUGAAUGAAGACUGAAUCAGUGGGUGAACUUUAAGAAGGAACUUCAAAGUAACUCCCCCCAAAUAUGCUUUAAUUGCUGCAGUGGUUUCAACACAUGUUCACAUAUUCUCUGAUAUCCUCAUGCCAAAUUCAGAGCUGAACUUACCUCCCUUUCAGUAUGGGCUGGAGUUGAAUGACUUGCUUCUGGUGACUAAACUACAGAAAGGGAAAAACAGCUCAGAUACAAUGGAGGAACCUGGCCCCUACCACCUUAACCACAUGGCUGUGAUACAGUGAGAAAAACAUCCUGCCUCUCCAAACCCAUAACCUUAGUUUAAUCCUGGGAAAAUUUAGACAAACCCAAACUGAGCAACACUGAUAACUGACCAGCAUUCUUUACAAGUGUCAGCCUCAUAAAAAUAAGACUGAGUAGCUGUCACAGAUCAGAGAAGAUUAAGAUCUGCUACCAUAAAUAAAGUUAACGAUGGAUCUGGAUCCUGGAUCAGAAAAAGGACAUUAGUAGUUAAACUGAGGAAAUAACUGUUGCUUGAUAGGGUUGCAUUAAUGUUAAUUUCCUAGUCUUGGUCAAUAUAUCAAAGUUAUGUAAGAUGCUAACACUGGGCAAAGCUGGUGAGCACAAAAGAAUCUUAAGUAUUUAAAGGUAUGUAAGAACUAUGGAGAAAGUAUAAAACUUCAGAGACAUUGAAGAAGACAAAUAAUUGGAGAACUAUGCUUUCAUUCCACUGACAAGAAGACUGAAACUAAAAAGAUUCUCUUUAAAUCUUAAAAAAAAAAAACCCAAAACAUGUAAUAAAUAAAUAGAAACCCAGGGUUUGUGUGUGAGGACUUUCGCAAGCUGAUUCUAAAAGUUGUUUGGACGUGUAAAAGGCCAGCAGACGGUGGAGAAUCUGUUUCACCAACAUCAGUGCUUCUUCCAAAGUCAUGAAGAAUGUGGUGCUGAUGCAAGGAGAUACCAACAGGCUUGCUGGACAGAGCUGAGCAUCAGAUUGCCCCCACAUAUGGACACUUGCAGUGUAUCAGUGGUUGCCUGUGAAUCACUGAAGUGCAUGGGCUUUUCAAGAAAAUGUUCAGGGGCAACAGCAUUCAAUUGGACCCUUAAUUUCUUCUUACUACACACCAAGAUAAGUACUUCUUGGCAUUCCAGGGGAUUGAAGACCACUCAUGAAAAGCAAAACUAGAAAGCCUAUAUGGCUGAAUGUAGAAUAAUAUCGUCAUAAUCUUGGGAUUAGGAAGAAUAUUUUAGAAUCAAAAAAUAAUAAUCAUAAAGGAAAAGAUUAAUUAAUUUGCUUGCAUUGGAGUCAGGACCUAAUCACCAAAUUACAUUUUAAAGAGUGAAAAGACAACUACAAAAGAGUCAUAAACCCACAAAAUAUAAAGAACUUUUGCAAAUCAAUAAGAGAAAUAGAAGGGACCUAAUUAACAAUGAGCAACCAACAAACAGCACAUCCUAAAAGAGGAAUCCAAAAGGCUGAUGAGCUUGGGGAAAGGUGUUGUGCCUGACUAGCAAUCAAGGAAAUGUAAAUAAACUCAGGAGCUCAUGGUCCAUAGGGGCCAGUGGCAGACUUCCAGCAGGAAACUGCACAGACAUUACUUAGCUGCAGCCGGGAGAAGGGCUCUGAGUGAAGGGCUCUGUGCCCAUGACAUCCUUGGAGAGACCAGGCAAGGCCUGGUAAGCCUUGAGGAAUGUGUGCACAUUCAGAGGCCCACAGGUCUGGAACCUGGUGCAAACAUUUUACCGCCCCCAUUUGAGAGACUUGGGGCUGAGAUUCAAGUACCCUGGGUUAUAUUAUACAGUUGUCAAGUGAAAGAGCUAAAACUUCAUCCAGGAUUCAAAUGUUCUUUUGGAAAAUAAGAAAAAGAACACAAAUACAUAUUUCAAUGUCUGCAUCACUUGUAUACAGAAUGAAGGAGCGGCUGCAAGAGGGGCCUGCUUUACAAACACCCAGGAUGAUAAGUACCAUCUCCAAAGCCCGAGGGCCAAGGCUGAGCCACUCGACCCCUGAGAAAGGCCCUGCGCUGGUGUUUUAGGAAAUUAAAUGUGCACAUCAGUUGGCUGCUUGGAGCAGGUGGGGCUUGCACCUGCCAGAGAGGAAUGUGUGCUCUUUGGUUUAAUCCUGGGAACAGCACGAGGGGCCCUGCAACAAGGGUCAGAGAGGGGCUCCACAGACUUGUUUUUCCAACUCAAAAGGAGAGGCUGCUAUCUGCCAGGCCUGUGUGUCGGAGACUGUUGGGUGUGCCUCUUCCUCCACAGGGACACAAAAGACCAGGCCUACCACCUCCACUUCAGUGUGCACUGCAGACACAGCCAAAGCAGAAAUUCUAGAAGAUUUUUGGAGAGGGGGCAGGGACUCAAUUUCUCCUAGAUGUGCGGGUGCUGCUCCUAGUCAGGGGCUUGGGGAAAGUGCUCUACGUGAACAGGACCUACUGGCUACUGCCACUUGUGAAGAGCUCAGUGUUGGUCUAUCACAGUGAUGUGAAAAGAUGGCCCAGCUGCAGAGUAAGCACAAGCCAUGGUGUAUGUGACAGGGCAGCUAAUCUGGACACCAAGACCCUGCAGAGGGCAACGGAGCAAUGCCAGGUGCUCUACUGAAAACAGCCAGAGUGCCUGGCCCUCUGGGAACAACCACUAUUUCCUGGUGACAAUGAAGUCACACUUUUCUAAGGCAGUCCCAGUUUUUGAUGCUUUCAUUCCUUGGCUGCCUUUGCCUUGUCAAGGCCAGAAACUGGGCCUAAGUUUUCAGGGCAGAACAAAACAAUUUUGUUUUCUAGGAAAAUGGGAGGUCUGGGAUGGUGAGUGCAACAUCAGGCGUGGUGACUGCCCCAGCUGGGGCCGCCAGCUGCCAAGUCUCACCCUCUCUCAAGAGAACCGGAACCAGACUCAGCACAGCAUCUUCCUUUGCAGCCAGUAGACCUGCUCAGUAGUGUUCUUUGCAUUUUAUUUUAUUUUUUUAAAAAACUAUGACCACAGCCAAAAGAUUGGAAGGAAAUAGAUCAAAAUGUUAACUGUGUUUGUCCUUGGGUGAAGGGACUUUGGGUGAUUUUGAUUUCCUUCAUUAUCAUGUCUGUGUUUUCAAUUUUGAAAGAUACUUUCACAAGUCAGAAAACAAUAAUUUGUAGAAAUCUUACAUGUGCUUUGCUUUCAGGCCCAUGACCCUGUCACAUGGCAUCCUGGAGGUAACAGAAUAUCAGUGUCCUACAUCCUUCCCCUCUUCUUUACGUUGUGCAUGCAACUGGGUAAUACAGAGCUCUUUUGCCAUAAAGUUCUCCAAGUAUUUCCAUUCCAACAGCAUGUGGCCUCACGUUCUCCUCGAUGAGCUCUCACCCCUCCUUGCUUAGACGAGGUAGGUCAGCAUUGACGUGUCAGGUAAGAGCCCAGCUCACUACUGCUGCCCACUGCCCUCUGCUGAGUAUUGUUGGUGUCCUUGUUCUUCCCGGUACCUUCACCCAGCUGCUCAGCCUCUGCCCUCCUCAUGACUGAUUAUAAUCCUAUUUAAUCUCCCAGGUGUAAUAUAAGCCUUUCCCCCCUACAAGCUUUCAAGGCUCCCAAGAUUGCUGCCUCCUCUGAUGACUGGGGCUUAUAUGUGCCUGGCCCAUAACACAGGAACCUUGCAUUCUGCUUUCCCAGAGUCCUUCCUGUGCCUGGCAUAGGCAAGAUUGCUAAGCCAGCUCACCACUCUGGAUAAACAAAAGCUGCCCCCUUUUUUCCUCAGGGAAUAACCCCUUUUCUGGCUUUCUCAAAAAAAAUUUCCCCCUCUUAGUGGAUUCACCAGAGCCUUGUGGCUACUGCACUGUGAAGAGAACUGUUCCCUAGGGCAUCCUGACAGCUGCAGCCAGGCCCUGCGUGACAUUGCUGAGCUGAAGCCCCACAGCCUGUGCCAGCUGCCCAUGCCCAACUCAUGGACCCUGAGCCAGAGCAGCCCCGCCACCACCUGUGUCUCCUCUCAGAGGCGAGAAGUAAGGGACAUGGACAGAAAGUGUAAAAGCCAUUCCCACAACAGCUGCCAGGAACAAGGCAAGGAGUGGAGUGAAAAUGUAUAUUCACAGCUGGCACCCAGUUCCGCUUAGGAAAAUACCUUGCCUGAAUGGACACCUGUUGUUUUUGCCUGCCCAGCAGCCAAGCCUGGCUUUUGGAAAUAGCUUCUCGAAUCUUCCCUUAAGGGGUUAUCCCUUUCUAUUUCUAGGGUUCAAGGUUCAGGUACCUACUGGCAAUUUCAAAGGGGUAUAGCAAGCUUGGAUACCCGUAGCAUAGUUUACAUCUGAGGAUGGUUUGUAUCCUCUUUGGGAGCAAUGACAGCCUGGCUCAGACAAUGGCAUGGAUUAUGAGAAAACAGAUGAUCUUUUCCACUGGGCUUGCUGAUCUGGUGUAUACAAGCUGAUGGCCAUCUUGUCUGUAUUCAAAAGUGGCUGCUUAAGGAUAUAGCUGGGCUGAUGGACAUAGAAAGUGAGGGUGAGAACAAAAGAAUGUACAGGCUGGAAGGGGGAGGAGAGCAAGAUCACGACUCCGAGGUCCAGCUGUGCUGGAACAGCUGGGUCCAGAUGUGUGAGCCAAAAAAUGUCCCUUUUGUCCAUAAGCUCGUUUGACUUGGGGUUCCAUCAUUUGUUAUCAAGCAAGUCUUCAGGAAUGUGUGUGACAAACUUGAGGGUGACAUGUGAGUCUGAGAGGGGGAGGUCAGGGUUACAAAACAGCUGAACUCCAUAUAGCCCUUGCUGAGCUUUAUGGGGCAAAAGGCAGAGAAAAAUAGGCUGGUGGGAAAGAAAGUGGCCUGAGGCUUGGGCUCCAAUCCUGCAACGGCCAGGGAGCUCUGGGAAAGGGGCUCCCUAAGGCUGGUUGUUGACUUUCUACUGUUGGGUAAUGCAAAUCCCCAGAACUUCAAGAAGCCCCUUUCCACACUGUUGUGUAAGUGGGGGUGUGGAGGAAAUUGUGGAACAAAUUGCAUCUCACAUUUAGUCAAGGUUGUUUCAGAAUAGAUUCGACUCUUGACAGUGAGAGUCAAAGAAGACCUGUAGAUUCCUGAGAAACCCCAGAAAGGAUGCUGGGAUAUGUACAAUCUGGACUUAAGUUUGUGAGUAUCCUCAUCCUCCAAAUGCCUCCCUUCACAAUAGGACACAGGCAUCAGCACAUACAAAGCCCAAAAUAAGUGGAAAUAGUUUUGUGGGCCCAAUGGUGGAAUCCGAAUCGUGGAGGUGUUUAGCAGGAUAGAUGACGGAGCCAGAACAGGGUCAGCCCCGAGUGAGCCCGGGAAAUGGAUAGAGAGAGCAACACAGCCAUCCACAAAACUAAGUCAACCCACUCCGGUCUCCACACUGCAGGAAGUCACUGUCCGGGUCUCCCAAGACACAUUUUCAGGGGAAGGUUCCAGCAGCAAGAGCAGCCCCAGGAAACUUUAAUAUACAAUGGAAUCUGGGUUAAGCACUAUCUUCUCCAAGAGUUGAGCUCACAGGACAUUCCCCAGAAACCUCUGGAGAGGUGGGGAGGAGAGUUUCUGGAGGUCUUUGGAUGAAGAAAACAAAAAAGUGGCCUUGAUUUUCAAGGCGAAAUUACAGAGGAAGAAAAAAAUGUUUUUAAUCUAAUUAAGAGCGAUCUUUUCACCUUCAUCACAACAUCGCGGAAAUGUGCCAGUUCUUAACUUCACACAAUAAUCAAAGCAAUUAGUGAGGGAGAAGCCUUGGAAACCGGUGCAGAUGUUCUCAGAAUGUUUAAUGGGGAAAUGAGUUGCAGGCCUCGGUCUCAGCAUCCGGCUCCAGGCCCUGGCUACCAAAUCCAGACAUCUGCUAGGGCCCCACCCCCAGGCCCCGAGGGCUCGGGCUUGAGAAACACAGGUCCCUUCCCAGGCUGCCUCCAGCCAGGCCAGAUCUGGGCUGAAAGUCUCCCCGUGGCUUCUCAAGCCAGGGCCUGGACACAGUCAGAGCCAUCCCAGAGCUGGGGGGAGGCUUAACAUCAAAAUUAUGUUAACAACUAAUGUCAAAAGUAAUCAACUCAGCUUGGAUCCCCCAUCCCUGCUGGCUGUAGGAAGGCUGUGAACAAGAGGAGGACAAGAGGCCCCAGAGAUACCUCUCCAAAAAAACCCCUUAUCAUGAACACUAUUUCAUGUAAAGAUAUAAUAGCCUCUGCUCAGUGUGCCUUGUGAGUUUCAUUCAAAUGCUGCUGGAGCUGUUGGUCCAGGAAUCAAACUGGGCGAUCCUUGAGGAAUUUCUAAUAUUCAGAAAGCUUGUAUAAGUGAGGAUGGUCCUUAGAAAGUAGCCUGUUUUAAGAACAAGGAGGGUACAUGACUAAUGUUAAAUGGCUGGUGGAGAAAGAGUGACCUUAGCCAGGCAGUUCGGUAAACCUUGGAUGCCUUGCUGGAAUGGCGUGCACUAGGAACAUGGAGGUGAAGAGAACAUUGAUCCUCUCCUCGGGGAUACACGGGCAUCGUGAGCCCCCACCUUUUUACUACUGUCAGCACUCACAGCCUUCGAACUGAAGGCUUCUUUUUCAAUGUCAACCUCCCAAAUGUACUAGAGUGCACCACCCUGAUAUCAGAGGCCUGUUUAACACACAGACGCCAAGAUGGAUGGGAAAUGAAUCACCAGGGGAAGUAUUCAAUAGUGAUAAACAGCCUGCUUACCCCAUCUUUGUAGAACUGUAAGACACGUUCUCAGUAGACACUCUGGUGCCCACCUUGGAGUUAUUGCUUGUUAAAUGACUGGCAUAGCAUUCCUAAGUUAGACUUUACAUUCAGGGAAACUGGCCCAAGACAAUGUGAGAGGAAGCUGCUGAAGCAUUUAAUAGAGGAAGCAGCAAGAUGCACUGUAUAUUUAAAGAAUCUUCUGUCGAUAGUGUGGAAGUUGAAAGAACACUGAAGAGGAAAAAGCAACUACUCAGGAAGAGACGUGAUGAUGGCAUUAACAAGAGAGAUAUGUGGGGGUAUGAGAAAUCCAGACAACUGACAAAACUCAAUGAGGUAUUUGACAGGGGCAGUAAAUUGUUCUUUUUUUAAAUGCAAAAAUUUGAAAAAUACUUUGAGGAAGUUUUGUAGAACAAUAAAUAGUGUGCUGCUCCCUUCCCUCUGACCCAAAAAUCUUCCUGUACACCUCCCUAAAACUAAAAUCAACAAAAUUGCAUUUAAAGGCAUACAGGACCCAGCCUUUCUACAGUACUAAGAAACAACGCUAUGACCGUGAAAGAAGAGAUGAACCAAAUCGUGACCACAUUCUAGCACUGUGCUACCUUUGCAAGCCUGUAUAUGCAAAAUGUCCAAGAAAAGUUAAAAUAUUCUGUCAAAGACACUGUGUAUGGUGGACAACAUUGCAAACAUAUUUCCAAGGACGCUUCCCUUCACAGAUACAUUUUUACAAAGGCAAAAUCCCACGGUCAACCUUGUCAAAACUUGGAAAACCAGUUGAUGGUUUACAGUGAUUACAAUGAACAUCAAACCAACUUAUACUACAAUUUAAAAAUGGUAGGCAGCCAGUUGUGGUGGCACACACCUGUAAUCCCAGCACUCUAAAGGCUGAGGCAUGAGGAUCACCUCAAGUUCAAGGCCAGCUUGAGCUGCAAAAUCAGAUCCUGUCUCAACAAACAAAAUUGCAGGAAAGUAUUGCAGUGUUUUUGUUUGUGCUUUUAUCACCCUUGCCUCAGCUUACUCAUACUCUUGAAGAUGGAAGCUUCUGUUGUAUUUCAGAUGUUAUACAUUGAUCCCUGGAUCUAGAAGGUGGAGAGACCUUUUUUUUUAAUUACUUUAUUUAUUCAAGUUUUGUAACAGGGAGUGAACUCACCACCUCACACUUGCCAGGCAGGCAUUGUACCACUGAGCUACCCUUCACCCCAGAGAUCUUACUUUUAAAAAGUUAGUUCUUUUGUAUAUUGAUUGAGGGCUGCCUGAAGGCCUGAUGUACAGUGAUUGCCUUUGUUUCAUCUAAUGCACAACCGAUUCAAGGGAAAAAUUUGUACAGUACUUGCAGGUAAGAGGGUUAGCAAAUCACAUGACCUGGGGAAUAGGAACCUGGGGAAAAGCUUAGUGGUUGAAACAUAAAUUAGGUCACUAAAAACUUUUGAGGACAAUCUACUGAGAAUUUCUCUGGCCAAAUAGAGCAUUGCAAAGUUUCUGUGUAACCUGAGGGAAUUUAUAAAGCAAUAUGUGUGCACAGGGCUUGAUGUAUGCUAAGAAAAAUCCUCAGCACAACAUUAAGCUUUUACUUCUUGGUGAUUUCUGUGCUUCAAACUGCAAAUGAAGGCUAAAACAGGGUUGUAAACAGCCUGGCUAAAUGCUGAAGGGAUACUAAAGCAGAGCCAAUUUGCAAAAACUGGGAUAAUUUUCGUUUCCUUUUUCUUGAUCUCUGACUUUUGCCACUGAAGGAUAUCUGUUAAAAUGAAUUGAAUGUAAAUUAACAGAAGAGGAACUAUAAAGACCACCUAUAUGACAAUACAUAUUUCACAGCAAUAGCUGAGAAGUCAUUCACACAUUAUAGAUUUAAUGUCAGAUUAAAAAAAGACUUGAUUUCCAGAGUUAUCACAGGUAAUACUUAAAAUGUCCAAUGUUUAACAAAAAUACAAAAUAUGCAAAACUCUAUGACCAUUUUCAGAUGAAAAUAUUUCUAAGGAAGCACAGAUAUUGAACUUACUUGACAAAGACUGCAAGUAUUCUAAAACAUUCUCAGAGACCUAAAGGAAAUCAUUAGCAAAGAACUAAAGGAAACCAGGACAAUAGACAAUAUCAAUAAAGAUAAACUACGGAAAAAAUUAAAAGCUCUGGAACUCAAAAGUAUAACAAAUGAAGAAAUUUACUAAACAGUGACUAGAGGAUUACAUUAACAGAUUAGGGAAAACAAUCUAAAUGUCAACAAAGAUUGAGUAAAACAAUCAAUUGUGAGCAUUAGUAGAGAAAGAAUUUUUUAAAAAAAUGAACAACCUGAGAGUCCUAUGGUAUACCAUCAAGUACACAGGAAUCAUAUUUCAACUUCCCAAAUUUGAUGAAGCACAUGAAUUUGUAUAUCCAUGAAACUACAGAAACUCUGCAGAGAAUAAAAAGUCACACAAAUACACAGCAUAAUCAAACUGUCAAAAGACAGAAUAUAACAGGAGCAAGAGACCUGACUCAGCAUGUGGUGAUUACAAGAACGGUAACGUAUUUCUCAUUGGUAAGUAUAGAUGCCAUAAGGGAAGGGGGAUGGCUUUUUUUAAGUGAUGAGAGAAAAAAAAUAUUUUGACAACAAAUGAUUCUAUAUCAAGGAAAAUUAUUCUUCAAAAGGAGAACUCAAAGAAUUUCCAAAUCAACAAAAGAUGAGGACGCUCAUCUCUUGUUGACUUUCUCAUCACCAGCUGAUUUUAUUACACAAAAGGAAAUAGAGAUUCACAAUUACAUAAAAGGCUACUAUAAAACAAUUUGAGGCUACAAAAAUAUGAAAUUCCAGAAUCAGUCAACACAAAUAUAAAAGCCAGCAUUCUAGUUUUAGUUCAUAACUUUAAUUUCUAUGUGACUUAAAAAUUAAUAAAACAAUAUUAUACAUCUAUAUUACUAGGCAUUCUUUUAAUAAAGAUUACAUAAAAAUACAUUUUGAGACUACAAGAACAUAAGAGAAUAAAGGUCUAUAGGAUUUUAAUUUUUUGUACAUUAUUGAAAUUAUGUUAAUAUAAGUCCAAACUAUAUAUUUUUUCUUUUUUCUUUUUUUUUUUUUUUUGGCUUUUUCUUCUUUAUCGGUACUCGGGAUCGAACUCACGACCACACACUUGCAAGGCAUGCGCUUAUGCCGCUGAGCUAAAUCCCCAGCCCCCAAACUAUACUUUUUAUAAAUUUAUGAUGUUACUCCAAUCUCAACUAUUCAGAUAAUGCCUUAAAAUACAUGUGCACAGUUCUACAUGUGAGAGGAUUAGAAGUCAUUCAUGUGUCUGAACAAUAGAUUCAAAGUUGAACUGAAAAAUCAACGCUUUAAGAUGUGUAGCAGAAGUCAGAUCAGAAGGCAAACCACUGCCCUCAACAUGAAGACACAGGUAGGUACAGAGAAUUGCAACACAGAGCUGAAACCUGCUGAAAUCAGUGCUUUGUAAGAAAAUCUGAACCACAAUUUAUGAAUUGCUGGCGGUCAGGUAUGGACAAGCUUGUGAAUUAAAAUAUGUCGGAAACCCAGGUGUGUGUGUGUGUCUGUGUGUGUGUUUCCAGUUUUCUUGAGUUAUCACCUCCAAGAGCUUGACCACGUUCUUGGGGUAAACAGAAGAAGAAUUCCCUUGUAACUUUCAUGGUGGCAAGGUAAAAUAUAUUUUCAAUAUAUCAAAGUACUCUCAUCAGAAAAAGACCUGCCUUCGGUGGAAAUUAGUUUAUUAGAGCCUAACCUGCUGGAGUUUCAUCAGGGCAAGGUAAGUAUUGAACUGUAACCAGCUCUAACCUUCCAUGUAGAAGCACGGAAAGAAGCCAACUCCUUCUGUCUCUCCUUUGCCAAGAAGAGACGAAAUCCUGGAGGAAUAUUUGGUAAGUCUGAAGGCAAGAGUCUAAACUUCAUAAGGUAAAAUAUAAAAAUAAAGCAACAAAACACCUCCUCUCACUACCUCAACUUAUUUUAUUUCCAGUGAUCAUGUAGCUUUUGCUUUUACCAACCUUAUAAUGUCCAGUUAUUAAGAAAAAAAAUCUUAAGUCAUACUACAAGGGGCAAACACUUUCAAAAGACAGCGAACAUCAGAACCAGACCUGGCAAAAAUGUUGGAAAUGGACUGGGAAUUUAAAACAACUAUCAUAAAUGUGCAAAGGAAUCUCAUGAAUAAAGAAGACAGCAUUUAUGAACAUGGACAAUGUAAACAGCGAUGGAAUUCAUUGGAAAAAGCAAAAAUGUUAGCAAUUAAAAUGCUAACAAAUGUAAAAUGUCAUUAUGGGCUUAUUAGCAAACUGAAAAUAGCUAAGAAAAACAUCUAUGAGCUUAAUCAUAUUUCAGUAGAAACAUCCAAAAGUAUAAGGCAAAAGCAAAGAGAAGAAUGUCUUAAAAGUUCAGAAAUGAAGAAAACAGUAUCCAAGGGAUAUGAAAUAACUGCAGAAGGUUUAACAUGCAAUGAAAAUGCUAGAAAUAGAAGGAAAGAAUGUAAGAGAAAUGUUUGAAACAAUACUGGCUGAGAAUUUCCUCUGACUAAUGACAUACACUAAACUACAGGUCCAGGAAACUUGUAGAACAAUAAGCAGGAUAUGUAUAAAACCAACAAAAACAACUAACCUCACGCCCCCACACACAUACACUAACUAUACCUGUACAUACACACUUCAUACUGGAACUCAAAAAUUUCUACAACAAGGUAAAGGGAAAGAAUGAAUUUAAGAGAAGUAAAUAUAAGAACUAUACAACAAGCUUUGCAGAAACAAAAUGAACAAGAAAAGUGGAGUGACAAAAAGAAAAACAAAAAAUCCUAAUGAAUCACCAGCAUUUGAAUUCUUUACUCAGUGAAAUCAUUCUUCAAAACUAAAGAAGUGCUUUCUCAGAGGAUAAAAAUCGAAUUUAUUGCUAGAAGAACUUACCUGCAAAAUAUGUUGAAAACACUUGUAAACAAAGAAAGUAUCACAAAUACAGAAAAAUCUAAAGAAAGAAGAAGUAAUUGUAACAUGUUUUGCUUUCAGUUGAACUAAAAGAGUAUAUCCAAAACAGGAUCAGUAAGGAUGUAUUUACUUUUGGUGCUUAUGAAUAUAUUAUGUAUAUGUGUAUACUUUUGUAAGUGAAAGAAGUGGCAGCAUGAUAAAAGGGGGAAGAUGGGAUAGGAUUAUGUUACACCACACAUAAAUUAAGUUUUACCACAUGUCAUUUGAAAGUUGGCUUGGAUUCACUGAAAAUAGAUACUACAAAAUAUAGUGUAACCACAUUAAAGAGUUAAAAAAAGUAACUAAGCGAAGAAAGGAAAGAAGCCAGAAUUUUGAUAGUCAACUAAAAUCACAAAGGACUAAAGACACUUCAGGACCCCAGAGUUGUGAAAAACAUUUCAUAUGAACAGCAAUUGCACACUGUUAUGCAAGUUAAGCCCAGCAUUCCUUCCUGAUUUACAAUUCCAGAAUGCUGUCUUCAGUCCUUUCUUUCUGCUCCAGAGGUACAUUUCUGAGAUAGAUAUAUGUUUUCCAUAUAUGGAAAUUGGCAUUUCUGUUAGUGUCCUGCCCUAUCUAAUACCUAUCCUCCUUAUCUCAAGGUCUGUAUUUCUGAUGUCUUAUCAUACCGGCAUACCUCUGGAAUUGUAGUGGAAUGGCUUUGGAAAAACAAAACAAAGAGACAUGCUGCUACUGAUCUGGCUAUAAACAAGAUAUCCACUAAGUAGCUGACAACUGUGACCUAAGUUGUAUAAUCAGUAUCUCUCCUAAUACCAUUAACAAAAACAAAACAUUCCUGAAAAUGGUGUUGGGUAGGGAAGAUUGCGGACUUCAUCUUUGGUUAUACAGGAGAGCCUUCUAAAUAACACGUGGAAACACAUCUCACAUAAACUGCUUCAGACAAAGAACAAAGGGGCAGUAGAUUCUCAACAUUACAAAUCUGUAAGAAUUUAAGGAAAACAUUCCUUUGUACCACCUAACAGUCAAUUCAUGAUAGAAAAUGUAAUGCAGCACUAAUUUCAUAGUUCUUGUGGAAUGGGGCAGGGAAUUCUGUAGCCCUCCUGAGGAUAGGGAUGACAUUACAAAGUUGAGCAAAGACCUGCUGUGCUGUCAAAGUGUCUUGAAGUUGCUACUGACAAAGAGAGGUUGAAGGCAGCCAUUGCCAUUAAGAUGUAUGUGUAUAAAAAGAGGGUUUUCUCCUGAAAAGACGACAAAGAUGAGUCUCGACUGGUUAAAAAGUACAAUAUCUGCUGUUAAAAGUGUCUGUCAAUGAUGUGAACCAGCUCCAGUAAUAAAGCUAAAGACAUGUUUUAGCAUGGAAGUUAAAGAACCUGAGCCUUAAUUCAAAUCCCCUAAAAGCACCAAAAUGGUGAGCGGAAAAAAAUGUGCUGCACAGAGAAAAAGUCUUGUGCUUAGUGGAAUCAGUCAAACAAAGACAUCUACAAUGAAAUGAACUCUGCUGAAGAGGAAUAUCUAAUGCCAGUUCAGUGAUUCCUGUCUAAUGAAAAAUAGACAUCACUAGGCAUCCAUGCAAGAAGGGGUCAAAUAUAAAGGCAAGCAAUGUAUUUCUCAAUUUAAACAACCAAGCUCCAAGAUACCAACAAUUAGGACAAUAUGUACUAUUAAACUUUCUAGAAUCAAACUUUUAGAAGAGCAAAUAAAUGGAAUGGUAUGUGCAAAACCAAAAAGACAGAAUUUUUGAAAGACUAAGAAACAAAAGAACAACAAAGAACCCAGUGACAGUACUUCAAAUAAAUAUAUAUAUUAUGAGCUUUAAUGGUCCAAGUACAGUAAUUAAAAGUUGAUAAAAAAAAAUCAAGAACACACUGUGUGAAGACAUUCAUGAGAAAAAUGAAUAUAUUAAUGUGGAGAAUUUUUGAUACUGUGGAUCAAACUCAUAACCACACACAUGCAAGGCAGGUCUGUGCUGUCGAGCUAAAUCCCUGACCCUUUUGUAGAUUUUAAAGCAAAGAAGUUAUUGGGAAAAGAAGUCCAUUUGGCAAGAAGUCAUUACUUUAUCGUUUCUUGUAAGAGUACAACCAAAUUACAUGUGCAAAAUCUGAUUGAACUUCAAGAAAAAACAGGUGAAUCUUUUACAAUUAGAGAUUUAUCAGAAAUGAGUAGAUUACCCUCAAUAUCAUGCAGGACUAUUGAAACCAGCCACAGCAUGAUACAUGCUCCUCUGAAGUUAACAUGGAACCUCGAUCAAGACAGAAUAUAUUUAGGACUUCAAACACAUUAACAUAUUUAAAAGAAAGGAAAUCGGACAAGGUCUGCCCUUCAACUAUAAUGGCAUUAUUUAAUAACAAAACAUAAUGGAAAAGUUCGAACCACAUGGACUUAUAACAUUUAACAUAUGGAUCAAAUAAAUAAAUUUUAGAGCUUUUAGAUAUAAAAUAUGGUAACAAGUGAUAACAAUAUAAGAUUCUAAGAAGAGUGAUGAGCAAAUUUAUAGCUUUGAAACAAGUAUGUUUCAUAUGUAUAUUUAUGAAAAUAUAUCUAAGUUUAUUCUCCAGUGCAGCAAUUCACAAGGAAAAAAUUAAAAGAAAUAGGAAAUGGGAAAAGUAUUAAAUUUGCCUUAUAAAGUGAGCUGUGGUGUCACAUACUUGUAAUCCCAGCAGUCCAGGGCCUGAGACAGGAAGAUCAUUGUGAGUUGGAGACCAACGUGGGCCACAAAGUGUGCAUGAGGCCGGCCGGAACAGCAUAGUGAGGCCCUCUCAAAAGUCAAAGCAAAAAAUUAGCCUUAUAAGCUGCAGUGAGAGGACUCCUAAGGAUUUCAUCAAAAGAUAUUUGAAGCUGAUAAAUUCAGCAAAAUAGAAUACAAAAUCAUUUUUAAAAAUCAGUAUCUUUGCCAAUAAUGAAAUACUUGAGAAGGAUAUCAGGAAAACAAUUCUAUUCACAGUGGUAUCCAAAAGAGUAAAAAAAUCCAGGAACCUAUCCAAGGAAAAGAGUGAAAUCUAUGACAAAAAAUUAUGGAAUGCUGAAGAAAGAAAUGAAAACGCUAGAACAUGGAGAGGGGUCACAUGUAUGCUUAUAAGCAGAAUAUUGCUAAAAUGGCCAUACAACAGAAAGCAGUCUAAAUUCAGUGCAAUCCCCAUCAGUCUUCAAUAAUAUUCCUUAAACAAUGAGAAGAAAGUUAUAAAGUUCAUGUGAAAACAAAAAAGUGCAGACUGGCUAAAACAACAAGAGCAAAGCUGGAGGCAUCAUUUGAUGUGUUUUAAAAUUAUACUACUCAACUCUAUAGUGCUAUCAUAAAAAAGAUGUAGACCAAUGAAAUACCACAGAGGACACUGAAAAUAAUUCUAUGCAACUAUAGCUGAUUCUUGACAUUUGAGAAAAACAUUAACUGGAGAAGACAGCCUUUUUAAUAAACAGUGCUGAGGCAAUGGAUAUCCAUAUGCAGAAGAAUAAUACUAGAACCCAUUUCUCACCUUGUACAAAAAAAAAACUCUUAAAAUCUUUGCUAGAAAAAUACUACUUGCAUAGCACUCUAAAUAGCACAUGGAUUAAUAAGUAUUAAUAAAUUGCAAAAUUAAUUGAAUAGACAUUUCUGAAAAAUUUUAUAUUUGACCAGCAAGUGUAUAAAAUUUUUCAAUAUUUUUCACCAUUGGACAAAUGGAAAUCAACAUUAUUCUAUGAUUUCAUCUAACCACAGGUAGAAUGUCUAUCAAGAAUACAAAAACUAUGGGUCAUUGAAGGCUCCAACAGGAACCUUUCUACACAGUUACUGGUUGCGCAAAUUAGUACAGUCACUAUCGAAAUAACUAGAGCUUCCUAAAAAAAAAGAAAGAAAGGAAACCCAAAAUAGAACUAUCAUAUGACUCAAGUGAGGGGUAAGACUAAAAGAGAGAGUCCUAGCAAACUAUCUGUGGAUGCCGGCAAUCCUGGGUUCUGGAAAAUUUCACAAUCCUGUCAGGCUGACAGCCCACUUAGAUAAGUCACCUGAAAUCUGCAUAAUAGACUGGCUUUUGAAAAGGAUCUCAUAUCACCUCUCUGAAUAUCCAGGAUACUGUAACCAGAACUGUUCUUGAGAAGUGAGCUAUUUUCUGAAAUUAGAUUGCUGUAAUGGAUCAGAAAGACCUGAUGACCAGCUGCUUUGGAAAACCUACAUGAUGUUUUACAUACACUACGGCCUCCUUACCAGCACACAGGUGUUACAGGGAGGAUACUGAUGUAUAGUAUCAGAAGAUCAUCAUGGUAUCACCCUAUGAAAACAAUUGUGUUAUUCAGCAGGUAAGUACUCAGUCCAGCUUCAGGACUGAAGAAAAGUGCCUAUAUUUCCUGUGACAUCACUGUUAUCCUUUAUACCCAGGUGCCUAUUAGGGCAGGGAGCCAAAAGUGGUUUCCAUUGCUGCCCUUCUUCCAGGGACACAUUUAAUGCAACUUGGACAAUGAUUUGGUUGCAGUUGUUGCUUCUCCCCUGACUACAUACAUCCAAACAGUGCAGAGAGGAUGUCUGAUUGAUGUCAGCAGCAGACAAACUACAGUGCUCUGUCAUUGACACAGAAGAAAACCACUGUUCCUAUCAUCUCAUAGACACAUUGCGUGACCAGACACUUGUCAGUAUGACAGAAAUAUUAAACUUAGGCACUGUAUUUCCUAACAGUACAUUUACUUGCAUUGCAUUGGGACUUGUGCCAAUCAAUGUAUCCUCUGAAUUCCUGGGAGCCAGCACCAGAGGCCUGUUGAGGCUGCACAACAACUAUCAUCAAUAUUGUUUGUGGGGACACCCAUCACCCAACAGGGUUCACUAGUCAUUUCAAGGGAUCCACACAACAUACUGGAUUCUAUGCUAUCUAUAUCAGACCUCCCUCAAUUGCUUGAAUGCCCCAUUUUUAUGUGUCUCAGAUUAACGGUAAGUUACCCACAUCUUCCAUGGCAUUCACUGUGCCUAACUUCACAAAAUCUCAUGACAAUUCUUCAGAGAAAAUUUACGUACUAAACAACCUAUCACUCAGUUGUUACCUAGUAAAGCAGAUGCAAGCAGAUGUCGACAUAUGAGCACAAGAAAUAGAAAAAUACAAGCUAAUACAAUAUUUAAACAAAAAGUAUAUCAAAAAACACAAAUGAAGUACCUGAAAGUGUUUCAAAGAAUGAUAAAAGUUCAAUGAUAUGAAUUCAAGAUAAUAUAGAUAAACACUCAAUACUUGGGGGAAAGGCAGUACAUAAAUGAGAAAUCGAGCAAAGAGAUAUUCUGAAAACAAGAUAAAUCAUAGAAUUCAGGAAUUGAAUGUGAAAAACAGUUGGGUUCUGUUGGUGUGCUUGUAAUCCCAGCAUGCAGGAUACUGCAGGAUUGCCACAUGUUCCACGCCAACCUGAACUAUAUAGCUUGAUAAGUUCCAGUUUGAACUACACAGUGCAAUCAUGUCUCAAAAAGAGUACACAUGAAAGCCAUGACACAUUAGAUCAAAUGAAGAACAUAUUUAAAAUUUGAAACAACUUUUGAUGUAUUGGAGUCAGGUCAAACGACACAAAAGUAAAAAGCAAUGAUGAACUCAUUAACAAAAUGUCCAUAAAAUAUUUAACUGAACAAAUAUCUAAAAUUUCAGAAAGUUAAUAGUGUAUAGAAUAUAUUCAAUGACUGUUCUCAUGUUGGUACACUUACAGCUACUCAUAUACAGAAGUAUAUAGGACCAUACACCAAGACUUGGAUUCAUCCCAGUAAUGCAAGAAUGGUUCAAGAUAGGUAAAUCAAUAAAUAUAUGCAACUAUAAUAAUAGUCAAUGAUAAAAUCAAUAUGAUCAUCUCAAUACAUGCAGAAAAAGUGCAAAAGUUAAAAACCCAUUAAUGGUCAAACCCUGUAAUGAAUUGGAUUAGAUGAUUCAAUGAGUUCCAUAAAAGCCAUCAAUGGAAACUGACAGCCAACAUACUAAAUGAAAAAAAAUUGAAAGCUUUUACUCAAAAAUCAAGAACAAGGAUGUCUACACUCACCACUUAUUUAAGAUAAACAAGAAAAAACAAAAAGAAAACAAAUGGAAGAUGGAAUAUUUGCAUGUGAUACUCCAUAUAGACAACAAAAACUCAAAAAUACUUGUGAAUUUAAUGAUCAAAUUCAGUAUUGUAAAUGGAUACAAAGUUGAUAUGCAAAAAAUCAGUGAUCUUCCUGAGUAUGAACACCUUUAACAAUAGGAUACAAAACAUGUAAUACCUGGGAUCAAUUUGAUGAUGGAAAUAAAAGAUUUCUUUGUUUUAAGUUACAGUACUCUAAAUAGAGAGAUUAAAGAUGGUAUCAAAAAAUUGAAAGAUAUCCCUUGCUCUUGGGUAGGAAGGAUCAAUACAGUAAAAAUAAUAUUUCAAAAACUGAUACAGAUUCAAUGCAGUCCCAAUCAAAAUUCCUAUAGCAUGUCACAAAACUAGAGAAAGCAUUCUUAAAAUUUAUCUGGAUGCAGAAGAGACCUAAAAUAUCAAAAGCAGUCCUAGACACCAAAGACAAGAUGGCAUGCAUCAAAAUCCCUGACUUCAUAUCGUAUUACAAAGCUGCUGGGAUAAAAGCAUGUUACUAAUGAAAAAAAUAGAUCUAAUAAUCAAUAUACAGGUAAUAAAAUCCUGAAACAUCUCCAAACAUACUUGACUCUCUUGUCAUUGACAAAUGUGCCACUUUCCAAGAAGAAACAGCAUGAAAAACUGGAUACCUAAAUGCCAAACAUUAACACUAGAAUCAAGUCUUUCAUUAUGCACUAAACUUAAAAUGCAUGAAAAAUCUAAACAUUAAAACACUAAGUCUGACAGAACUUUUAAGGACAUUGUGUUAUGCCAAGAUUUUAUGAACAGAACCUCAAUCACAGAACUAUUACAAUCAGCAAUUGGGAUCACAAUUGAAAAAGAGAAAUCACCAGUAAGAGAAUUCAACAGCAAGAGAAAUCACCAACAGAGCAAGCUGAGAACCAAUUGAAUGAAAAACAUUUUAGCCAGUUGUCACUCAAAGGACUUAUAUCAAGAACUUACAAAGAACUGAAAAUAUGAGUUUCCCCAAAUUUAAAGACCCAAUCAUAAGUUUCCCCAAAUUUAAAGACCCAAUCCAAAAAUGGGCAUCUGAAAUAGACACAUCAGAUGAAAUAAUAUAAAAGGCAAACCAAUGUAUUAAAAAAAAUCUUCAACCUCAUUGGUCAUUUCAGAGAUGCAGUUUAAAAUAACACUUGGAUUCCACUUCAUCCUAGAAAGAAUGGCUGUUAUCAAGAAGUCAAGCAAUAACAUACCAGUGGGCUUAUGAACAAAAAAGAAAUGUUGGGGGAUGCAGAGUGAUGGAUACAGCACAUAAAUCAGUGUGGAGGUUUCUCCAAAAACUUGGUCUAGAGGUUCCAUGUAACCAAGCUGUUCCUCUUGGUAUCUUCCUGAACAAAUUAAAAUCACGAUACAAUAGCAACAGAUGCACAUCAAUGUGUAUAGCAACAUAGUUUGCAACAGUUUGAAAAAUCCUACAAGUGCAUCAAAUGAUGGAACGGGAAAAAAUGUAUUUUUAAUACAUUGUAGUACUACUUGCCACGAAGAAGGGUAAUAUUCAGACACUUGCCUAAAUGGAUGGACUUUGAGACCAGUUUCUUAAGUGAAAUAAAUCAAACAUGCAAAUUACAGAUUGUUUCUCUCAUGUGAAAAAAACCAUAAUGUAAGUAUCAAGAUGUGUAGUGCAAACUGAUAGGAAGAUGUUCAAAUGUAUUUCUACAGAACAAAAGAGGAGAAAGGAGGAAACCAGAAAAAAUAGAAAUCACACCAUUUACGCAAUCUCAGCAACAUGUCAAUCAAAAAUGUUCACUGAAUAUCUCAAAAUGGAUACAGUUGUGCCUCUACAAUCUACAGUUUUAAAAAAAUGGCCACAUUUGACUUUGAAAACAAUGGUCAUGUUUGUCAACUGAUGUAGAGUUAAGAAAUGAAACCAACAAUUUCUUAAAUGCUGUUCUUUGCAAACAAAAUAUCAAAACUUGAACAUAGCAAAAGCAGUUCUAAGAAAUUUCGUAGAAGAAAGUGUCUACAUCUAAAAGGAAAAUUUCUCAAUGAUUUAGUAUGAAAAAAAUCCAGAAAAAAAAGAAGAGAAAUGACAACAGAAAAUAAAGAGAUAACUGUGUAUUGAAGACUAAUCAGAAAACAAUUUGUCUUAUGGAAAAGUGAAACUGAUAAAUUAGAAGAACAAGGAGAAAAAACCAAAAAUGAAAAUGGGGACAGUUUCACUGAUAUCAGUGUUUUAUAAAAAUUAUCUGGUGUUGUGAAUAUGUUAUAACAAAUUGGAAAACAGAAGUAACAGAAAUUUCUGAACACACAAAUACCACCAAAAGUGAAUCAUGAUGACAUAAGAAUGUGUCAAGAGACCAAAAAGUGAGACCUUUAAUCAGUUUUAAAAAGUCAUCAGUACUAAAAAGUUUUAUGAAAGUAAAACUCUCAUGCAGGCAACUUUACUCCUAAGCUUUUAUAGAACUAAUGUCACUCCAAAGAAUUGAUGGGGCAGAAACUCUUAUAAAUUCAUUUUAUAAAGCCAACCUGACUAUUGUCAAAUGCAGACUAGGGCACUAGUUACUGGAAACUACAGAAUAAAAACUUUAGUCAGUACUGGGAAUUCAAUUCAUGACCGCGUGUUUGCAAGGCAGGUACUUAUGCCACUGAGUUAAAUCCCCAGGCCCCUAGAGUAAAAACUUUCAUCAUAUAUGCAAAAAUCCUGAAUAAAAUACUACCAAAUCAAAUUAAACAACAUCAAGAAGUCACUCAUCAUAAUCAAGUUGAUUUUAUCUCAAGGAUACAAGGUUGGUUGAAGUCACAUAAUCCAAUAAGAAACAUAAUAUCAAAAGGAGUAUAAGAUGGGAUGAUCACUUCAACAUACAAAAAAAAAAAAAAAAACCCAUUUGAUAAAAUUCUGUUUCUGUUCAUGAGAAAUAGACCCAAAAGUUAUGGAUAGAGGAAUGAUACCUCAAUUUCAUAAAUUUUACAUAAGAUGGAUGCACAACCCAUGUCAUUUUCAGGGGAGGAAAUCUUCAAUCAGGGUUGAAUAACCUAUACCAAAAUGGGUGAGUGAUUAAAACGUUGAACUUAAGAUUCAAUGGAUUAGUAUCUACACGGGUUCAAACUCCACCUGUGGUUCAACCGAACUCAUUCCUCACCAGGACGAAAUAAUAUGUCUUUCAAAUCAUAUGAUGCUUGUUGUAAAAAAAAAAAAAAAAAACACCACCAAAGGAUUAUAAAAUCAAAGUAACCAAAAUGUUGCAUACAAAGUUGAAUUAAAAUAACAUGUUUAUGCCUGCUUGAACUACACAUAUGACUGUCUCUUUAGGCAGCUUAUGUAAGUGAUAGGCUAUGCAUGAGUGUUCCAUGCCACCCAGUUGGACAUGGCAGUGAGACAUACAAGUUUUGGUGCAAUCGUGAAUGUGUUCUAUAAAGAAUUUAUUAACAAUGAGAUAAUGGAAAGCUAUUCAAUGAACACUAGCAAGAAAGAUAUUACCAAGAAAUAAAUUUCACCAAAGAAAUGAAAUAUACCUACAGUGAAAAUUUUUGAAGCACUAAUGUAAGCAAUUGCUGAAGACAGGAAAUGAUGGAGAAAAAUUUCCAUGUUCACUAUUAAAAUUUUUCAUUUUUUAAUGUCCAUAAAAUCAAACAUAGUGGAUACAUGACACAACGUUUGUCAAAAUGCAAAUGACAUUCUUUGUGGAAGUAGAUAAAUCCCAUUUUCAUAUGGAAGUGAAAUUCCCUAAAUAGCCAAAACAAACCUGGAUGCUUCACUAUACCAGAUUUGACAACAUAGCAUGGUGUUACUAUAAGACACACUAAACUCUGGAAUGUAGCAAAAGCAGUACUAAUAAGGAAGUUUACAGUAAUAACUGGCUUUGGUAAAAUUAAAGCAAAAAGAUACUAGAUAAAUAGUAAAAAUUAUAUCUCUAAACCUUAAAUUUCAACAAAUGGAUCCUAAAUUUAUGAGAACAAAUGAAAUCAAGUUGAGAACAGAAGCAUGCUAUAAAAUACCAAAAAAGUUAAUAUAAAUGUUUAGUGUAAAUAAAAUCAACAAACCCUCAAGGUAUAUAAGAAGACUCACCAUCAGAAUUUAAAGUGGAAAUAUAAUAGAAACUUUGGAAAUAAAAAGGUAAAUUAAGAAGUAUGUAUAAUCAUGCCAUCAAAUUAGUUAUCUACAAGAAAUGAAUAAAAUGCUAGAAAAAUGGCCUGUUAACAUUGAAUCAGGAAAAAAAAAAAAAAAAAAACAACCAAAGUUGGAAGACUUAUACCAGAUAUUGAAGUCUUUGUAAAACUUACCCAAGAGAAGACCAGGACCCAAUACUUUCAUUGUUAAACAUUAUCAAAUACUUACAUGAAACCACAAAAUUUUCUAAAGCAAGUCUGAGAAAUACAUACUUGAAGGCAAACCAUUUUGCAUUUUAAAGAGUUAUAAUAAUCAACACAAUACAGUACUGGCAUAAAAAUAGAUACUAACCUCCAGGACAGACAGCCCAGGAAUUAAUCCAAACAUACAGUCAAUGAUCUUUUGAAAAAGAUACCAAGAGGAUCCAUUUAGAAUGUAUAAACAUUGUUUUAAAAACUUGAAGUUCACAAAUAAAAAUAUGUAUUUGAGUGCUUUCUUUGUACCAUAUAGAGAAAUCAACUCAAAAUAGAUGAAAAGCUUAAUGUAAGAUCUAAGAGGGAAACAGUUUGAAAGACUAUCAUUGUCCUUGGCAAUAUUUUGGAUACUACAUUGAUAUAUCAGACCCUGCAAGGAAAAAUUAAAAAUAGGAUGACAUUAUACUAAAAAAGUAUCUAUACAACAAAGGAAACAACAAAAUCAAAGCCAACCUAUGACUUGGUGAUGUGCAUCCAGUAGUAAAGAGUUAAUGUCCAAAAUGCGUGAAAUGCUACUAUACAUUAACAGAGAACAUAAUGUGAUUCAAAAAGUAAGCAAAACGUUUGAACAGAUAUGCUUCCAAAGAAUAAAAAUGAACAAGAGUGUAUUCAGUGAUGUUACUGAACAUUACUAAUAGACAAAUGCAACUCAUAAUCACCAGACCUCUAUCAUGUUAAUGUAACCAAUAUUUUCUAAAAAGGGAAGGUUUUGGUCUGAUUGUAUAAAAUGGAAACUACACAUUGAUGGUGCAAAUGUAUAUUGGUGAAGCCAUUAUGGAAAUCAGAAGAGGAUUCCUCCAAAUAAAUUGAAAACUACUAGUAUACCAUCCAUAGGUAAAAUUAAGAUUUUUCAGUUUAAUAAUUCUUCAAAUAGAAAAUACCAGAUUCUUGAAGAAAAUAACUAAUACAUGAAUUUAGUGAAGUGACAAUAUAAAAAUCAACAUACAUAUCAGUAUGUUUUUAUAGAUAUAAUCUGAGUAGAAGUUAUUCUUAUAGCAUCAAACUAUAUUUAGCAAUAAAUUUGAUCAAGAACGUGAAAAAUCUAUAUGCUAAAACACAAAAUACAGACAAAACACACUGAAAUAAAUCAGUGGAAAGAUCCCAUGCUUAAGGCAAGGAAGAAUCAUUCUAAACCAAAAGUUUUCAAUUCCUAUCAUAAUCCCAGUGGCAUUUACAGCAAUAGAAAACAAUCUUAGAGAAUUAUUAAAUCAAAGGUUGCUUGUUUUUCAAAAAUUAACCAAAAUUGUAACUGUUUAGCUGGGAUGACAAACAAAAAUGCAGUGAAGUUUUAAUCUUUAAAUCAUAAAUGAAAGUUUCAACAUUAUCACUGUUCUCACAAAAUGAAACAUUGUAGAAGAAUACUAAGAUGUUAAGAAAAAUCACUUAGUUAUAAUCGAAAAAUUCCUAGAAAAACAAACACUGAUUCAGGAAGACAUUAACAUCAUAAGCAGAUGUGUAGCAAUGAAAAGUUUGAAUCAGCAAUCAAAAACUUCCAGAAGGAGAAAGCACUAGGAUUGUGUUGUUUCUUAAAAUUAUCACUACCUUCUCAAGCUCUUCCCAAAAAUUUGAGGAAAAAGGAAUAUUUUGCAACACACUCUUUGAUCCCAAUCAACAAAAAAUUAGCCCCCAAAACAGUAAACACGUGAACAUCUUUAAGAAAAUACUAGUAACCCCAAGUCAAUGGCACAUUAAAAGCAAAACCAAAUGGGAGUUAUAUUAGGAAGUGAAAGUUGUUCAUAAAAAUAUCAACGUAUGGCUAAUAAUACUCAGGUUUCUACAGGGUUAUAUUCUAAACAAAAUUAUCAUAUGUUGAAAAUGCAUUUUGUACAUGUAAUCUGCUUUAAAUUAUACAUUGGCUGCACAAAUUAGUAUGAAGUUACUGGUCAAUUAGAGUCCCUUAAUGCUACUGCUGAGCAUCAUGAGAGUACUGUACCACAAACAGUUUGUCAAGAAGAUCUCAAAUCAAAGUAAAGUAUAUUCUUGGUCUGUUUCACCUUCACAUCAUGAUUAAGUUAAAAAGUGUCCUAGGUGAAGCACUAAUUCAUGAACAUUCUCUACAUCACGUUAAUAGGAUGAAGGACAAGAUUCCAUAGAAUAAUUUCAGUUGACACAGAAAGAGAAGAUCAAAUUCGAUGAUGUUAAGAGACAACCAUUCAAAAAUUAGUAAUUGAACAGAACUUUCAAAAUACGAUAAAUUGGAUUCUUGAUAAAUCUAUAGCAAACUUUAGACUAUCAAAUUUCAAGGAAGGAUUCGGCCAUUCCUUGUAAAACCCACAUAAGUGGGAAAUGUAUUACCCAUAAUUUACUGAAAAUCAUAGCAGUAUAGUAUGCUGUCAAGUUUUGCACUUUAAAUUACAAAAUGUUUUAUCCUUAGCGAUUAUGUACAUGAGUAAAUAAUAUCCAAAUUUUAAAGGAAGAGUUGCUGUUGCAUACAGAAAAUGUCAAUCGAAAACUAGAGCUAAUAAAAGAAUUCAGUAAAGUUGCAGGGUACCUGUUCAAACAUAGCCACACACAUAUGCACAUUUCACACAGCAUCUGUCAUUUUUCUAUACCAGGAAAAAUAUUCAGGGGGAAAUUUACAAUUACAACUGGCAAGGACUAGAUUUAUCAUUUAUAUACUACCUAAACAGAAGUUAAGAAAUUAAUUGAAAAGUUCUACUCUAUUAAUACUAUAGCCUUAACAAAAAUAUUUCUAUGAAGCACUAGGCAUUGCUGGAGAACAUGUUAGCUAAGAAAAGUAUUAUUCAAAGGGAUAUAUUUACAAUACUAUUUUUUAAUACAGGUGAAAUGCGAAAAAAAUCACAUUUCUAAAGUAACACUCACAAAUAGAUUUGGAACUAGAAAGCAAUGAAAUUGUUUACCGAUAAGGUUUAGUUGAUGGCUUGCAGUGGAAAAUGUAUUAAGAGAAGCAUAUUUCUUUAGAAGAUUGUUAAUGUUCUGUGUAUUUUAAAAGUUAAAGUAACUCAAGAAGUCAUGGAUCACUUUUGAAAUGGGGAAGUGAACAUCUUUUUAUGAACAUAGCCAAAAAGCUGGGCGCAAUGGAGCAUGCCAGGAGUCCCAGAUACUCAGACUGCUGAGGUUGGAGGAUUGCUUAAGCCCAGGCAUUUGACACUAGCCUGGGAAACAUACUAUAACCCCGUCACUAAAAUCAACCACACAUACAGAGCUUUAAAAAGCAAUGAUAAAACUGGGUGAGAAUGUCUAAAACAACCAUCUGAGAACUCUGAAAAUUAGAGGAAGGCAUUUUACAAUUUGAAAUGUGUUUAUUCAAGGAAAAAGUACUGUUAAAUCUCUGCAUGAACUUUGAGGUCCAUAAUAAUUUCACGUGGGAAUGCCUGCCUCCACCAAGCUCAGUGGCACACUGGCCUUGAGCACCAUCUUCAUUACUGGCAAUGACUUCUAACAUGUUUUUGUGCUCCAUGGAAAAUUCAAUGCACUGUAUCAAAGAAGAGUUAUCUCAGUUGCACAUCUGUAGAAAAAGCCACCAUCAAAGAAAUCCAAUAUUCCAUUACUGGUCAAAGCAAGCAACAGACCAGCAGAAAUUUUCAAAGAGAUUCUUGGAGAUACAGAAGAUUUCACUUGCUCUCAAAUAAGAUCUGAGAUGUCCUCUGUUAUCUACUUAAUCUUGGAUGACUGUGAGACCUGGUGCAAGCGGAGAGUAAAACAAAGAACAGGAGUUAUUAAAGUGCCUGCCUAUGGAAUGUAUGUUCUGGUCCAUACACAGACCUUCUCUUUAAAGGGUAAAAGAUCACCAGAUAAGAUACCUAAAGCCUCUGACUAAUGUUGGUCUAACCAGUCAGUUGUGCUGAUGAAGGAAUGACACUAAAGGAGCAAGGCUUAAACAAAGAUAAUUUUUAAGUACAAACCUGAGCAGAUGCAUUAGCAGCCUUAUACUUUAGAAGAAUGUAGGUAUGUCAUAAACAAGCAAAAGAAUAAGCAAACCAGUAACAGCUGUGAAAAGGGGAAAAUUAGACUCUUGCAUUUCUACAAUGUGUUAUCCUAGGUGAUCACGUCUUAACAAAAUUUAUUUGACAUGCCAAAAAGUAGCAGUGUUGCCCUUACCAAUAAAGAGCAGUGAAGAAAUGAUAUCUAAUGUGGCCAAGGCAAUAAUUUUAGUAAGAUAAAUUUUCAGAAUAUGUAUUACAUAUGUAUCAGAAAACUAAAGCAAACAACUUUAAAGAAUGGAAGAAAACAUGGCAAUGAUUAAGCAUAGAAUAUUACCAUAUAUAAAUUAUAUUUGUAAAAUUUGCAUAUCUUCAGUCACAAAUUGCAGUAAUUUAGGUGAAACCUAGUAAUUUAGGUGAAAUCCAGUAAUUUAGGUGAAAUCCUUACCAGGAAAGUCAAACAGCAAAUCUAUACUUGCUAUAGAAAGAAAAUUGGUGGUCUUAAGUACAGAUCUAUAAAGAUGGUUUAGCCUUAAGUAUAGACAAAAAUGUAAUACGGAAAAAUAAACAGCCUUAGAAAUCUGCUGGAUACCACAGCAGUAUGUGAAACUAAAUGUAUGGGUAAAGGAGUCGUGAUGUGCAUGUAACUGAGUCCCCAGAAGGAAGGGAAACAAAGGGCUAGAUAAAACUAUUUGAAGAUAAUUUAACCUGAAACCAAUUGUUUACUUGUAAGAUGCUUAUUCUAACUUCCAAAUUACACUGGUAAGAAAAUAACUGUAAAUAGCAAAAGAAAUUGAACAGAGGAAUUAGAAUGACAGUAGAAUAUGCCUGUUCAACACACAGAAGGCAAUACAGGAGGAAGAGGAUAACAAAAGAGCCAUACAAAAAAUAGAAAAUUUAUAGUACAGAAGAUGUGAAUCCUACCAAAUCAACAAUUAUAGUACUACAAAUUAGACUCAAUAAACUCACUGUCAAAAAACAGGAUUAAAAUACAUAUUUUCUACAAUAGAUACAGCCAGAUGCAAAGACAGAAACAAUUUGAAUGUGAGCAAUAGUAAAAAUAAAAUGUAAAGAGUAAAGGAGUAGUAAAUGUAAGAGACCUUAAUAGCAAUAAGAUAAAGCAAAUUUCAGAAAUCAGUUAUGAACCAAGCAUAGUGGCAUAUACCUGUAAUCUCAGCAUUAAUGCAGGCUGAGGCAGGAAAUCACAAAUAUGAAUUCAAUCUGGGCAACUCAGCAAUUUAGUAAGACUUUGUCUCAAAAAUCAAAAAUAAUUAAAAUCAAAUCAAAUCAAAUAAAAAAUACUAAAAAUAGCUGGGAAUGUAGCUCAGUGCACAGGCCCUGAGUUUAAAUCCCAGUGCUGGAGACAAUGAGGGGUAUUUGACAAUGACAAGAGUGUUAAUUUAAGGGCUGAGGGUUUAGCUUAGCGGCAUAAGCACCUGCCCUGGCAAGUGCAAGAUCAUGAAUUUGAUCUGCAUUACCAAAAAAAAAAAAAAAAAAAAAACAAAAAAAAAAAACAUAUCAAUUUAAAGGGCAAAUAAACCUAAUUAUGAACCAAAACUAAAAUAUAUGCAGCUAAUGGCAGUUCUAAAAUAUGUGAAAGAAAAAAUGGACAGAAUGGAAUAUACCAUUAAAUAAGUAAUAGGAAUUCUGCAGUAAUAUCAUUCUAAUAAUUUAUGUUCUUGAUUUUUUUGCCUUUUCAAUUAUCAACAGUAUUAUUAAUUAUGACUGGUACUACCCCUAUUAUUAAUAUUGCUGUUACAGUAUUACCAACUGCCACUGAAGAAGGAGAUGUUAGGAAGUGACACUACAUGGCACUGUGCUGAAUGCCCUACCUUAUUCUGUCAUCAGGGGCUCCACAGUGGAGCUCACUUUUCAACACGAGAAGUAGAACCCAUAAAGCACUAAGGUCAUAUAACUCAAGGUAAAAAAUGUCAACCACGUAUCGCAGAUCUAGAAAACUUUUAACAUGAAGAAAAAGUCGAAACAGAAUCCUUUGCUAACAGACCUGCUUUACAAUGAAUACUAAAGGAAAUUAGGCAGCUUCGGGUCUGGGUGGGUCUGGUUCUUGUAUCUUACUUUAUUAGAUGGGACAUGAGAUUUCUUUUAUCCUGAUCACUUUCUAAAAGCCUUAUCUCCUAGGAACAUAGUAUUAAGGAGUAGGAUUUCAACGUACAAAUUUUGAGUGAAUAUACUCAACCUAUAAUAAGUACUGACAGAGUGAAAGAUACAAGAAAGUAUUUGAUAAAAUUGAUCUCAAACUAGUCAACAUACUAGGCCUAGAAAUAAAAAUGAAAUUCUAACUUAUUAAUAAAGGAUAUCUAUUAAAAAAACCACAGUGAAUAUUGUAUUGUAUGUAAUACAAUGAAAGCUGGGUCCAGGCCAUUCUGUUCAUCACUGUGUAGAGAUUUUCCUCACGACAAGUAGGCAGGAAAGAGACACGAAAAAGAGCUGGACUGCAAACGAAGUUGAACUCUAUUGCAGAUGACACAAAAAUCCCAAGAAGUUCCCCCAAAAUAGAACUAAAUAAAUGCAGCCUGUUCUCAGGAUACAAGAUCAAUACACAAAAAUCAAUUAUAUUUUUGUGUGUUGUUUUUAUGACUGUUCUGGAGGCAAAGGGCCCCACAUGGUGAUUCCCAGAACUUGAGCUUCCACCCUGAGCAGCUCUUGAUCUUUUUAACUGUAUAUCCCACUGCUUCUUAGAUAGUCCCCCUGGGGAUUCAGGCAGGAUUAAGGCCAGGGCAGCAGCCCCGGAGAGGAUGAGUAAGCAUUAGUAGGUGGCUUUGAGGGAUUCCAGGCAGUGACCACUUUUCCUGAGUGUCUGAGUCCUAGCACAUGGACAUCUCCAGCAAAGUAAAUUAUAGUUCUAUAUACUGCCAGAGAACAGCCUAAAAAUUAAAUUAAGAAAAUAAUUCAAUAUACAGUAUUAUCAAAAAGAACAAAUCACAAGAGUACAGAUGCACUUAAUGCCAUAAAACUGUAUGCUUAAAAUUAUUUAUGUGGUAAAUUAUAUUUUAUGGAUCUUUUAUCAUAAUUUAAAAAACAGCAUUUAGAAAGAAAAUUUAAUUAAAGCAGUGCUAAAUUUAACCUCUGAAAAUUACAAGACAAACAGAAAGUGGUCUCAGGUUCAUGAAUUGGGUAAGAUGGCAAUAUUCUUCAAAUUGAUCUCUACAGAUUGAACACAAUCCUUGUCAGAAUCUUAGCUGACUUCUUUUUGUCAUGGCAGUUGUUAAAUUUCACAUGGACGUCAAAAUAAUCUUGAAAAAGCAAGAAGCUGUAAGACUCACAUUUCCUGGGUUCCAGACUUUCUACAAAAUGACAGUACUCAAGACAUCGGAUAGGUUAAGAAAAAGGGGAAAGAAUGAUAGGUCUGAAGAUGAAUCUAUGUAUCAGUGGUCUCCUGAAUUUUUCUAAAGGUACACGGCAAAUCCAUUGCAGCAAGAAUAUUACUUUGAAUGGAUAGUUCUCCAAUAACUGGAUAUCUACAUGAAAAAAGGUAUUUGGUUCUCUUGCCAUAUAGAAAUACUCAAAAUGGAUUGAAGAUCUAAAUAUUACAGAUAAAUUCAUAGAAUUUGUAGAAGAUGACACAGGAGCAACUGUGUAAUUAUGGAUUUGGCAAAGGAUAGUUAGAUAUAACACCAAAAGCACAGGAAACAAAAGAAAAAAUAUAUUGAUGGGACUUCAUUGAAAUUUAAAGCUUUUAUCUUUUGAAGAACAUUAUAGAAAAAGUAAAAAGGCAAUGUACAGAGGAGAUAAAAUAUCUGUAAAUCAUUUACUGAUAGAAAAUAGGUAAACAUCUAAAUUCAAUUCAAAAAUUAAAAAAGUUAUGAUUUAAAAUGAUGAAAAAUCUGAAUAGACAUUUCUUCAAUGAAAACAUGCAAUAGUCAUACACACACAAGAUUUGUAAUCUCAUUAGUUAUAGGGACAUAUAAAUCAAAACCACAGUAAGACCAUUCAAUACGUUCUAAAAUAAUUCAAAAAGAAGUGUUUAUAAAAUAUGGAUAAAUUAUGCAAUGUUCACACAUUACUAGUGGAAUUUAAAGUUUUGUCCCAAUGUUGGAAGAUAAUUUUUCAGUUCCUUUAAAAUAAUAUAUGUUCUUGCAAAAAUUUGUACAAAAUAUUCUCAUUAGCAUUAUUCAUAAUAUCCAAAAGGUCAUACAACCAAAAUAUAUCAAUCAAGGAAUAGAUAAACAAAAUGUAUUAUAUUCAUAGAGUGGAAUAUUGUUCGGCUAUAAAAGAAGGAAAUAUUGAUAUAACAUUGAUGAAUCUUAAAAACAUGCUAAGAGAAAGAAGCCAGACUUAAAAGACCACGUAUCAUAUGAUUGAACUUUUAUGAAACGUACACAACAUGCACAGAGACAAAGAUUAGUUUCUACUUAGAGAUUGGGAAGACAGAAUGGGAGACUGAUGAUACUUAAAAGAAUACUGUGUUCACUUUCCAGGUAAUGAAAAUGCUUUAAGGCUAGUUUCUUAAUUACUUUCUUGUUGCUGAGACAUAAUACCCAAUACACUCAAAGGAGAAAAGGUUUAUUUUAGCUCACCAUUCAUAGAAAUUUCAGUCCCUGCUCUGCUAACUGCAAAUCAAGAUAUUAUGGCAGAGAAGAAAUAAUUCAUAGUAUGCCAUCAAAAAGCAGAGAGAUAUCAAAGGCAGAAGGAGUGAGAUAUACCCUUCUAGGCCAUGCAACCAGUGAUCUACCUUUCCCCACCACGCUUUACCUACCAAAUUAAUUUAGUUAUAAACUCAUCAGUAGACUGAUUGAUUGAUUAGUAUCACACUACCAUGAUCCAAUCAUCUACAAAAGUCCCACCUAUGAGCACAUCAGAGUUUGGGGGUAUAUCUAGAUAUAAACUAGAACAGCCAAUUACAUAGAUUUCAGCAUAUACGAAGUGCUACUGAAUUGUAGUCUUUGAAUGGGUGAACUGAAUGUGAUAUGAUUUCUCAAUAAAACUGCUAAAAAGAAAACAAGGGGUGGAAAAAUUCAGGGUUUAGAACUAGGCAAAGAUUUGUUAGACCUAACAUCAAAAGUACAAUCCAUAAGAUUUGUUCAACAUUGAAAGAUUUGCUCUGCAAAGGACCCUAUGAAGUUGGUGGACAGGAAAUUUAUUGAGUGGAUAAAAUACGUGUAAAUCACACAUCUGACUUGGGAUCAGAAUUUGCAAUAGAUAGAUAACAUAAGGAAUCUUUAAAAAUCAAAAGUUUUUUAGUUUUUUAAAAAUAUAGUCCAUUUGAAAAAUAGACAAAUGAUGUGAACAAACAUUUCAUGAGUGGAAGUGAAAAAAUUUCACUAUUAUCAGUCAUUGGGAAAAUAUAAAUUUCAACCACAGUUAGAUAUCACUCACUUAAAAUCUAUCAGAGUGAAUAAAAUGAGAUAUCAGUAUAUAUCACCAGAAUGGCCAAUGUAAAAUUAAUGCCAACUUCAAAUGCCAGUGGGGAUGCAGAGGAAAUGGGUCCCUCACACAUUGCUGGGGGUAUGGGGAUACUCUGGAAAACAGUUCCAUAGUUACUUAUAAAACUUGAUAUGCAACUACUGUGCAUCACAGCAAUUGCAUUGUGUGGCUUUUAUCCUAGAGAAAUGAAACGUAUUCAAAAAUCUGUAUAUGAAUGUUCAUGACAGCUUUAUCAACAUACUAGUUUAUCAUUGCUGUGGUAAUAAUGUAUCACAAAGAGGGGUUUAAACCAACACAUACUUUUGCUGUUACAGAGGUGAGAGUCUUAAAAAAAAAAAGUUGUGGAAUCGAAACCAAAGUGACAGCAGGCUGGUUCCUUUUGAAGGUUCUAGCACAGUGGCACCUAUGGCACACGUGUUCUUUUUAAGGCAAAAAAUGUUAUUGCAUGAGUUAUUUAUUUUAAAGUAAACCUAAGUAUUCAGGUUUAAUUGUAGUGUUGGCACUUUGCGAUAAAUUGGUGGGUUUUGGGCAUUUGUAUCUAAAAGGCCUGCCAUCACUGCUCUAUGGAAGCAUCUAUUUCCUUUCUUUUUUUUAACUUCUGGACACUACCUAGGUUCUUUGGCUUGUGACGCCUUCCACAAAUCACAUGAUUUUUUCCUUUAUGGGAUAACACAACUGUCUCUUCUCCUAUAUUCAAAUCUUCCUCUUAUAAGAAUGCUUGUGAUUAUAUUGUACCUACCCAGAAUAUCCAGAAUAUUUCCUUUCCUCAGUUUCCUUAAACAUGUCUGCACAGAAUCUUCAUAACCACAGUGUUCUAAGUAUUAGAUCUCAGAUGCUUUGAGAAUCUUUAUUCAGUUUUUCACAAUCUACACCAGCCUUAAGUUGGGGAUGACCUGUAUGUUCUUAGAUGAAUGAGUGGUUAGAUCACUCAUGGUAGACCCAUAUGAUAAAAGUCUAGCCAGCCAUAAAACUGAGUAGACUGUUGGUACAGACUUAAAUACAGUGCUUAGCAUUUUUCUCAGUUAAAAGAGCCAAUCUUGGUUCCAUUUAUAUAACAUUCUUUAAAAGGCAAAACUAUAGAAUUGGAGAAAAGAUUAGUGGGAACCACAAGGAUGAGGAGGAGGGAAUUCGGUGUGGGUGUAAAAGGUCAGUGGUAGAGAUCCCUGUGACAGAGAUGUUCUUCAUCUGUGUCUUUUGUCUGGUUGUCAUACUUUACUACAGUUUUGUUCCAGCUGGGGGAACUAAGUAAUGCCUGCCUGGAAAGUCUCUCUGUAUUAUUUCUUACAAUUUCAUGUGACCAUAUAAAAAUAUAAAUUUUAAAAGAUGUUAAAACGUAGGCAAAAGCCUGAAUAGAUACUUUCACUUAGAAAAAUGCUGUAUAACAGCAAAUAAGCACAUGAAACAAUUAUGAGAAUGUGAAUCAGGACCAUAACUAGAUAACACCAUUAUCUACAGUACUGUAUUUUUUUCUUCUUUCAGUGCAAGGGGUGCUCUGGUUGGAAAAAAUCAUUAUUUUACAACUAUCCUAACAAAGAUCCUUGCAGGGAACAUCUAAAUCUGGAAAGACAUUUUUGAUAAGGAGCAAGAUACUUGCAUCACCUUAAAGGAUUCACCUCAGAUUGUUCAUUUACUGCAAGGUAAAACAUAGUAACUCUAUAGUGGCAAAGGAGACAGUGCCUCAACUGAAUGAUCCUGUAGUAUUGCCAUUGAGCCACCAGUGGCAUGUAUCUUAGGGCGCGUUCCCUGAGGAAGCUAGAACAUUGCUUAUGGAAUCUUGCAGCUGGGAAGGCAAUCGGAAAGUAAUGAAGAAUCAUUGAAUUAAAAAAAAACAUCAUGUGGCAGGACUGUAUCUUUCAAAAUUGUAUCAUGAAAGACAAUGAGACACUGGAAAUGCCAAAAGAUACAAAAACAACAGUAAACAUGGAUUGGAUAUUGUAGUGAAGAAGAAGAAAACCAGUUGCACCAAAAGACAUUGUUCUGUCAAUGGUCAAUAGUGAAAAAUAAAUGUACCAAAGAACUGUAUGGAUGUUUUACUGCAGAGGUUGAUCUCUGUGCUAUUGCUUUUAAAGGGGACGUCUUUAUUUUUCUGAAAUACACAGCAAAA